UAAGUAAAUGAUGUUUGUCAGCAAACCUCUGGAGGACUCUGAAAUUGCCAUGUUCUUCCCUGAAUCGUUCUUGGAACGAUCUGCGAUGGAAGUAGUAAGGGUUGUUCCUUUGUUGUUGCUCUCCUUCGUCACUUUCCUCUUCUUCUUCUUCUCUCCACUUGUUUUCUCUCUCUCCCUUCCAUGGAUCCUCUUGGUACUGUUCCCUGCAUUCCUUCACACAUUGUUGCUUCCGUUCGGGCCUUUGCUCUUGCCAUUGGCAACGCUGUUGACACUCCUUGAAUCGCUUGUCAGGCUGCUGCUGCUGCUGUUUCUCGUAUUGUUCCCUGCAGCUUUGUUCGCAAUGUGGACGCAGCCUUCUUUCUUCCUGUUGGCAGUGUUGUCGGCAAUCCUGGUAUCUCCUCUGAGGAUCUUCUCCGUCACGCUGCUGCUCCUCCUUCAACUGCGUUUCACACCUGUCUUCACACUUGUCUUGCUCCGUUUGUCCACGUGUCUCCAAUUGGCAUCGCUUCCGGCAGUCCUCGUACCUCUGUUGAGGAUCAUCCUCGCUUCUUCUGCCGGGGAAGUCUUUGGCAGAGCAAAGCAAGCCAAAGGAAAGGAAAAGAGAAAAGAGCAAAACUACGAAAACUGACUUGUUCCUCACCAUGAUUACUAUAAGCUCUGUAUUUUUUAGUGCACGAUGGUAAUGGCAAAGACCGGUAAUGUAUUUAUAGAAGGUGGAACUGUGGAAGGUGAUGUUUUUGCAUGCAAAUCUCCAUCAACGUGUUGAAGACAUUGACAUGCAAGGUGACGAGUGUGCAAAUUAAAGAAGACAAAAUAUUUUGAGUCUUUUUUUAUCGAGAUGCCACAUCCCUUCACGUGGUACGGUCAGGGUUCGGACAAGCUUUGUUGCAGAGGGGAAUCAUGGUUGUAUCUGUAACUAGAAGUGGCGAAGUGAUAAUGCUUUGACAGUAGAGUGGUGGACCGAGUUGUCGUUUGUGUCAACUCAGGUGAGUUUAAAGAGUGUAAAAAGUGGGAUGUGGCUGUUUUAUGAGGUGAAUUAGAGACGAGUUGAUGUCCCGAUUCACUGAGUUUUAAGGUUGAGUUGGUUUUUAUCUGCACUUGGGCAGAAUGGAGGACAGCUCAAGUGUACACAUGUUGCUGUGCAUGGUGAUGACUGAUGAGUUGCUUGAGAUAUGAACGAAUUAAGACAUGUACAUAGAUACUAUUUGAAUUUGAUAUAAUCUAAUUGUAUAAAUUCAUGCUACUGAAAUUUAAAAACUAAGAUAACAUGUCACAUGUUUGAAAAAUAAAAAUGAAUUUUAAAUGAAGGCAUGCUUAUACUUGGUUUUUUUUAGUUGGGUGAGAGAAGUUAUGAGUAGAAAUAAAGAUUAUAUUAAAAUAAAUUUUAAAAUUAUUAUUGAAAUUUUAAAUUUAUUCAUUAAAUAUGUUAGAAAAUAUAAUUUGUAAAAAAGAUUAAAUAUUGAUGGCUAAAAAAAACUCAAAAAUAUAAUUAAAGUUAUUUUAACAAAACAUACAAAUGCUAAUAGCCAAAUUUAUGAAAAAGUCAUAAUGGUUUCUUUUAAUAUUACGAGUUCAAUGUCACUUUAACCAUCUCAUGGAGCUAAUCAACCGCGCAAUACAUGAUCAUAAUGCCUACAACGGGGCCUUGCAGACGAAUGGCACCUUACAGACUACCUCGCGAACAGAAUCAACGGUUCACACAACAAAUAUCUCGAUUCACAACACAUCUCCUCAAGACAGAAAUUAUCCCACAUACCACCUAACAUUCUCCUUCAAAUACAAUCACCAAGAUUCACCGUACGGCGCAGCAGCAUCACUAACCACUGACAGCCCUUAUCCACUAACUUUUGCUACGUCCUUACAACACUUCAACCAAACUCACUGCAAAUUACUAUUUAUCAGACAAUUACUAUGUCAUCUCCAACGGCUCCGGUUUUCAACAUGUUUGUAUACCCCCCAAACAGGAAGCGGCGCAGGUACCUCCUUGGCCAAGUUUAUGUCCAUUGGAAGUUACAACCAAUACUCGCAGGUAUCAAACACCUGCAAAACGGGAUCUGAUUAUACGUACAAGAGGAACGAUACCCACUCCAUGCAACAGUCAACAGGUUGGCAUACGUAGCCUGGAACUUGUUUCUUUGACUUGAAGUUUACCAAAAAAAUUAUACCACUUUAACUAUAUAUUAAAAGAAUUUGAUUCACGAUUUGUUUAAAUUUUUUAUAAAUGAGAAUGAGAAUAAAAUUGUUUGAGAUCGAAUUUAACCUUUAAUAUUUACAAUAUAAUGUUUUUAUUACUAGGUCUAGAGGUUGCUGACAAAAUGACUUAUUUAAUUAAAUGUCAUUUUGCUUAGCAAUGCAAGUUCAUUUUCAUUACAAAAAGGAAAUAUUUUCUCUUGAUAUUAUACCACAUCUUGAACAUGAAAGUUAGUGAAAAUUAAACUUGUUUAAUUAAAUCAAUUAUAUAUAUAAGAAAAGAAAGAAAGGCAAAAGUGAUGAAUAAAAAAACUUCAAUGGAGCAUUGGGGAUAAUAAAAGAAAUAUAUAUCUUAAAGCAAGGUUAAUUUUGUAAUAAUAAACACUAGUUAACCCAUUGGAGCAUUUACCUUCGUUGCAUUUGAUAAAACUCACCUCACUGGUGAAAUUCGAGGGGAGCUAAAACCUCCGGUUGGAAUUUUUUUUGUUCAGAAAGUUGUGCAACAGACAAGCAGAUUGGAGGGAUUAUUGUUGUACCCAAAAUAUGUGGGUUUAGACCUAGAGUCAUAACCACCGGCUGAAGUCCAAAUAGCAAUAAAAGGCUCAAGCAAUAAGCAGGCUAGCCAAUUACUAAAUGACCCAUUAAAGGGUUACUUGCUCAUUUAAUGAAAACGAACCUGACCUUACCCCUGUAGAGCUUGAGAGUUGGUAUAAGCAUCCUCCUUAUGUCUUCAUGCAAGAAGCUUUUCAUAAGCUCCAUUCGACUUAAACUCAAGCUGUUGAACAAGAUAGAACGGGGAUCUAACAACCCUAAAAUAGAAUGUAGCUAAUUCACCAAUCAAAUAUAAUGGUUAGAUCUAAACAUGAGAUCGGGUAGCUCCACAAAAAUAUUACAAAAUCCAUAAAUGCUCACUAUCUAACAUUAUAAAAAUUUAUCCUUUCUCAAGAUUGAAAAUUUUGGUAUUAGUAUAAUUUUUAGAGACAUUAACAACAUCAAAUGACAUAAUACUAAUUACUUAAGUACUUAACAUUUUAUUCCUUAACAUAGAAAGACAAAAAAACGCACUCAAAAGUUCAUACAAGUUAUUGCACUACAAAACAAGGGUCUCCUCCUUUACAUAGGUCACCAUUUUUAUUUCAUUACAUGCCUGCUUAAAACUAGAAAAUUUCACAUUAGUCCAUAAACACGAGACUAUGUGAUUAUUAUUGCCUUUAACUCUUUAUUCAGAUGCACGCUGCCUCUGUCGAGACACGAAGUAAGACUCUUGUGGGUUGCUGUUGAAUAUCUCAUCCACCAACCUCGAUGACACCCCAAAGGCCAACUCCUUGGCUUGGCUAUCCCAUUGUCUCACAUGGUUGAUUUUCCCAGCCACGAAGAUCCUCUGGUUAUGGUCUGGGUUAAUGUUCUGGUUGUAAAGACCGAACCCAGUCAUCCUCAGGUUCUGGUUUUGGGAUGCAACGAAUGUAACUGGAAAGUUUGCUGGGACUACAAAUAUGUCUCCACGCGACAACCGGGACCUUAUUUUCCUGUAUUGUCCACUUCUCCUUUCCUCUUCUUGUUCUUGUUCUUCUUCUUCUUCUUCUUCUUCUUCUUCUUCAUAUGAGCUUUGCCUAGGAAGAUGAGGAGAAACCAUUUCAGCGUAUCCAUUUCCUUCGGUAACAAGGAUCACGAAUGUAGCCUUUGAAUUGUAGUGCGGCACAAAGAUUGAUCCCUACAAAAAAAGGAUUUGAUUUUGGUUAGUAUAAUGAUGGAAAUUAGAGGGAAAACAAAGGGUGGUUUGGUUUUAAGUACUUGGUUUAAUUGCAAGGCUGAAACGGUGACAUUGAUGUCCCUGAGUUGCCGGAAUUCACGUGGGCAAGCCUCGAAGAAGCGGCCGUUUUGGUUGGAGUAGCGAGGGGUUUGGCUCAAUAAGUUGAAGGCGAAUCUCUCGCCACUUUUCUCCCUUGGUGAAGUAGCUUCUUGGCUCAAUGCCCUUAUUUGUUCCUGGCUGGCUUUACGGAACAUUCCCUGUCCCUGCUGCCUUCGACGGCUUUGCCUCCCACCAAACAGCUCGUCUAGCUGCUCACUUCGUGUCUAAUACAACACAACAUGAAUGAAUCAAUGAAUAAUCAAGUUUUAUUAAAAAAAAGUUGAUUAAUUAGUUCAAAGAGCAAUACAUUGAAGGCAGGCUCAAGAAUUUCACGACUAAAGGCUCGGAGAUAUGACUGAGGGCGUUGGCUUCCAGCUGGGAAGAAUUCCUGCAGCAAAAAUAUGAGUAAAUAUCUAUAUAACCAAAACCAAACAAAUUUGUAAAUGUUUUAAAAAUGUAGGAACCUCGAAUUGUCCAGGGUUAUUAACAGGGCGGUGAAGCACUGCUAUGAUUAGCUUUUCCUUGUUGUCUUGGUUAACCAAGUACACAGUGCUUCCUGCUGGGACGUUGACUACAAGUCCCGGUACUAUAUUGUAGGACUCUUUGUUUUCAUGUGUCAAGAACGUAAGCGUUCCUCUUCCUGUGAAAGUAAACAGUUUACCAUGUUUUAGUUAAUGGUGUUAUAUUAUAUAUGCUGAUAAAGGGAAGAGGAAAUAGAAUAAUGUUCACCGUUGGUGACAAGGUAAAUUUUCUCAGCGUCACAAUGGUGUGGGAGAACGAAAGUGUUGGGGUUUGCUUCUAAGAUAGAUAAGCGGAACUCAUUGAUGCCCCUAAGAAUAGGAUGCCUUGAAGCAAACCUUUGGAGGACCCUGAAAUUGCCAUGUUCUUCCCUGAAUCGAGAUUGGAAUGAUCUGCGAUGGAAGUGGAAAGGGUUAUGGCUUUGUUCUUGCUCUCCUUCUUCAGUUUCCUCCUCUUCUGCUUCUUCUUCUCUCUCUCCCCUCCAUGGAUUCUCCUGGUACAUUUCCCUGCAUUCCCUCACACAUUGUUGCUUCUUUUCCGGCCUUUGUUCUUGCUGGUGGCAAUGUUGCUGACACUCCUGGAAUUGCCUCUGGGAUUGUUGUUGUUCUUGCUCGAAUCGUUUCAAGCACCUUUGUUGGCAUUGUGGUUGUUGCCUUUCUUCUUGCUGUCGGCAUUCUUGCUGACACUCCUCGUAUCUCCUCUGGGGAUCUUCAGGGCGGUGGCGCUGCUGUUGACCUUUCUCCCCAUACUGACUUUUACAACUUUCUUCACACUGCUGUUGCUCCUUUUGUCCACGUGUAUCCCAUUCGCAUCGCCUCCGGCAGUCCUCGUACCUCUUCGAAGGAUCAUCGUCGCCUCUUCUGCCGGGAAAGUCUUUGGCAGAACAAAGCAAGCCAAAGGAAAGGAAAAGAGAAAAGAGCAAAACUACGCAAGCUGACUUAUUCCUCACCAUGAUUACGAUAGCUCUGUAUUUUGUUACUGUGUGAUGGUAAUAGCAAAGAGUGGUAAUGUAUUUAUAGAAGGUGGAGCUGUGGAAGCUGAUACUUUUGCAUGCAAAUCUUCAUCAACGUGUUGAAGACAUUGACAUGCAAGGUGACGAGUGUGCAAAUUAAAGAAGACGAAAUAUUGUCUUUCUUUUUUUAUAGUGGGGGGUAGAUAUCGAGAUGCCACAUCCCUUCACGUGGUACUAGCAAGGUUCGGACAAACUUUGUUGCAGGGGGGUUCAUGGUUGUAUCUGUAACUGGAAGGGGCGAAAUGAUGAUGCUUUAACAGCAGAAAGAUGAUGGACCGUGUUGUGUUGUACGUGAACUGAGUUGAAUUCAAAGAGUGUUGAAACUGGGAAGGGUUUUAAAGUGAGAUAGAGAUGUCCCGAUUCACUGAGUUAAGGUUUGAGUUGAUAGAGGACAACUCAAGUGUACACAUGUUGCUGUGCAUGGUGAUGAUCUAUGACUUGCGGGAGAUAUGAACAAAUUCAGAUAUGUAUAUUUUUGGUAUCCUGUUCGUUUGAUGCUCAUACAAAUUAGUCCUUUCAAAGUUUGAGGUAUUUUUAUUCGUUUUCAAUAAUAUUAUCUAAGUAUUACAUAUAAUAUCAUUAUAUAAAUUUAUAAUAACAAUGGAAAAUAAAAUGUUUCACUAAAAACACUUAAAAGUAAGGAUUUGGAUUCAAUAUAGAUGAUAGGAUAAAAGUUAUACAGUCCAAUCUUAACAUAUAUAAGGUGCCACAUAUUAAGAAAUAUGGUAAUUUAUUUUUUCAUAAAUUUUGAAUUAAUUAUACUUAUUCAUUAAUAAUUUUAUAUAAUCCUAACAAUAUUAUACUAUGUUAGUUUAUUAAAAACAAACAAGUAGGCUAGGGGCUAGGGACAUGACUCUUUAAUUUUAUGACUAUUUUUUAAAAAAAAUCUUAAAAUUUAGGGUUAAUAAAAACAAAGUAACCUAUAUUUAUUUGGUAUUUAAAAUAUUUUUUUAAACUUAAUUAAUACUUAAACUUGUAAAUCAAUUUGAUAUUUUCUUUGAAUAUUUGACUAAUAUCAUUAAAAUUCGUUGACAUAAUACUGACGACCUAUAACAUAGCAACAUGUGUCAACAUCACAUUUUGACACGCGGUAAAAAUAAUAAAAAUUAUAGAAAUUUUUAUACAUCUCAUUUUAGACAUACUUUUUUAGUAUUUUUUAUAUAUUUUAGCUUUUUUAUAACAUAUUAGAUUUUUUAUAUUUUUAUUAUUAUUUUGACAUGUAAAAUAUAUAAAAUCUAAAAAAUAAAUAUAUAUAUAAAAACAAACAUCUAGUACAUAUUUCCUCUUCGAUGCUUCUUGUAACGACCUAAAAAGUGCAGGCAUUGGAAAGUGAAUUAUUGGGCCUCCAUUUUAGUGAAACAAGUUUGUAAAUAAUUAUUAAAAAUAUUUAUAGAAUUAAUUAUAAGACCAAUUGGAUUUUAGUUAAGUGAAUUUAGUUGAAUUAAAGUUAAUUGAGUAUUAGGACUAAAUUGAAAUAAGUGUGAAAGUUAAUUAUAGAAUAGUGAAAGGAGAAAGGACUAAACUAAUAAUUAAACCAUAAAAAGUGACAAAUAUGUGAUAAUUAUAAAUACAUGUGUAAUAAAUAUAUGUAUACAUUUGUAAUUAAUAUAUGUAUGUACUUAUUAAGUAAAAGAUAUUUAUGUAUUAUAUUAUUAUAAUAUAAAGUAAAGAAAUAAAAGAAAUAAAAGAUAGAAAAAGAGAAUAGAAACAGAAUAGCAAAACGAAACAGAGAAGAAAAGAAGGAAAAGAAAGAAAGAAAAGGGAAAAUUAAGGUUUUGAGGUUCCAAGCUCAAUUGCUAAUGUCGUGCAAGAGUUAUUGUCCGAGAAAGGAAAGGAGAAGAUGAAUAAGGAGUGACUCGAGAAAAUUACGGUUAGUAUUACCAUAAUUCGAAUUUAAUUAUUAAUUGUUAAAAUUUAAAUUAAUAUACAUGAUAAGCAAAUUGAGGUAAGUAUCAUGAUUGAAUUAAAUGAAAAAUACGUAUUGGUAUUGAAUUUAUUAAUAGUAAUUGUUGAAUUUUGAAUAAUAUGUUUAGUAAAUAAAAAUAAGGUGAAUAUCAAUAUUGAAUUAAAUGAUAUUUAAUUGUAUGUGAAUUGAAUGGAAUUUACUAGUGAUAUGAUUUGAAUUAAAAGAAUUAAUGUGGUAUUGAAAUGCAUAUUGGAUUGAAAGAUUGAUUUAAAUUGUGAACAUGAGAAAUUGUGAAUUGAAUGAAAUUAAAAUGAAGUAUGAAUAUAUAUAUAUGAGCAUUUGAUGGUAUACUGAUUGGAAAGUGAAAAAUGUAUUGAAUUGAAUUGUGAUUAAAUUGGAAUGAUUUGAAUUGAAAGUAUGAGAAAGUGAUUGAAUUGAAAUGUGAUUCGGAAACCCUAUUAACUAGUCGGGAUGAGUCGGAUAUAGUUGGCAUGCCAUAGGAUUGGAAGAGUUCAGGGAUACUUCGACCUCGAGUCGAUGAGACAUUGGGUGUCAUUAUAUUUCUUCGGAUAGUUUCGAUGAAGUACUGGGUACCAACUUUCUUCGGCCCUGCCGAUGAGACAUUGGGUGUCACUUUAUUGCUUCGAACUAUCCGAUGAGGCACUGGGUGCCAUUCUGGUGUGUUUGGUUGGAUCCGUGUAUCCGCCAAGGUCCAAGUCUUGUUAAUAGGGGUAAAUAAUUGGAAUGAGAAAAAUUGAAUAAGUUUGAUUUAUUGAGCUAUGGAAAGAAAUGAGAAAGUGAAAUUGUGAAUUGGAAAUCGAGAUAUGAGAUUUGAAGAUAUGAACCCAAAGUUCAUGAUUUGAUUAAGAGUAAAUUUUUGUUAUAUGAUAUUAGUGAGUACAAAUUGCAAUAGAAUUGAUACUGAAUAUAGUGAUAAAUUGAAUGAAUUGCAUAUGAACUUAAAUGAACUAUUGGAAUGAGAUGUGAAAAAUCCAAUAAAAUUGAGAUAGUGAAAUAAGGUAUGAAUACAAUUAAAUACAAGAUUGAAAUAUUACUUUUUGUUAUUAAUGAUCAAGUUGAUUUAAAGUAUGAGAUAAUUAAUGAAUAAUUGUAGACAUAAAUUAAAUGUAUAUAAUUUAUCAAUUAAUAUUAUUAAUUUGAAUUAUGGUAAUACCACUGAGUAUACCCAUACUCAGCAUACAGUUGUUUCCGUGCGCAGGUUAAUAGAAAGUCAGUGUCUAGUCCAGCAUCCAAAGCAAUCCCGACCUCAGAGAAAUUUUAGUGAUGUACCUUUCUUGUGAUAAUAGGGCAUGUACCUAAGUGAUGUAUAGGUUAAGUAUAAAAGUAUUGUGAUUAUGAUUUUACAACGAUGUUAAAAUUUGUUACAAGUAUGGAAUGGAACUAAUAUGACAUAUUUGAUACAAAUAUGCUAUGCCUGCUAUAUAUUUGUGAACUAGUUAUAAGUUAUCUGAUAUGUCCGGUAAUACUCCGUAACCCUAUUCUAGCGACGGUUUAGGGUUAGGGGGUGUUACACUUCUGGUGAAAUAUAAUAUGGGCUACCAAUAAUGUCCUUAAAUACAUCAGCUAUUCCAAAGGCACGGAGUUAAAAAAAUAAAAAAAAAUCAACCCGACCACGAAAAUUUUAAUGAACUGAGAUUAUUAUAUUUGCACCUGGCUUAUAAAAGAGUGACACACCCAAAUUCGUAGCCUUGAAUGGUGAAUUUUCGUCCUUGUAAUAGAAUGGCAAGUAUGGAUGAUUUGGACCAUGGUUCUAAGCAAAGAAGCGGCUGCACGUUGUUAUCAUUUUUAAAAAUGAUUUUUUUGAAAAAAAAUUAAUUUUUGAAAAUGUUAAAAUUAGAAUUAAAUUGAUAAAUUUUGUAAAUGUUGAGGGUUAAAUUUAUUAAUUUUUUAGAAUUCAAACUAAAUUGACUAAUUUUGUAAACAUUAAGAGCUAAAUUUAUUGAAAUUUUUAUAUUUAGGAUCAAACUGAUAGAAUGUGUAACUAUCAGAGGAUUAAAUUUAUUAUUAGAUUAAUAAAAAAAACCCACGUCAGCUUCCCGUACUCAUCUUAGGGCAACUAAAGGUAGAGUGAUUAAAAUAUUGAUUUUGAAAAAUUUAAUGACUAAAUUGAAAAUCUAAUGAAAGGUAUAGUUGGGUGACAUUUUUGUAGUUUACCCAAAUAAUAAUAUAUUUUAUACCAACAUCAAUGCAAAUUAAAAUCGGGAAAUUUGGACUUGUGAAACAAAUGGGCCGAUCCAAUGUGGACUCUCAAGGCUUUAUUAAAAAUCACUUCAACCCAUUACAUUUGAGGCCCAAUGCACCCUAAAUUCAAUAUAUUUCACCAAUAAUGUCUUGGCAUUUAAAAAUAUCAUGGAGGCCCUUGUACUAAGUGUUAAAUUGUAUUUUACCUCCUCUAUUCAAAAAAUAGAUAAAUUAGUCCCUGUACAUUAGAUCAAUGAGCAAAUUGAUCCUUUCCGUUAAAAAUUUCAUCCAUUUCUACUAUUAACAAUUGACAUGACUGACAGAAUAACCAAAUAGUAAUACGUGUCAUGCCACAUGUAUUUUAUGCCAACGAAUAGGGAACGAUUUUUAACAAUAGAAAUAGAUGAAAUUUUUAAUAGAAUGACCAAUUUACUCUUUGAUCUAAUAUACAGGAACUAGUUUGCUCAUUUUUUUAGUAGAGGGGGUAAAAUAAAAUCCAACUCCUAGUAUAAGAGCCUCCAUGGUACUUUUAACCAUGAAAAAACAAAUUACAUAAUUUAUGUUACUAAAUGAUUUUAAUAUAAAAGUUAUCGUACCAUUGUCGAGAGGUAUUAUGGGCUGAGUCAAAUCUAUGUAUGGUAUUAGCACAAUUUAUUUUCAUUAAAUUCGGCUCAGCUCAAAAUAUAAGUCACAAAAUUUUCUCAUUCCUACCCAUAUCGGUAAAUAACUAACUGAAAAGCUUGUUUUAAGCUCAUUAUAUUAUAUUUUCAAUUUUUUACAAAAAAACAUUAUUUUUAAUUCAAUAUUUAACAAUUUAGCAUUUUUAUUAAAAUUUUAAACAUAGAUAAUUUGCAUGUUGUUUAUUUUUUACAUUAUAAUAUUAUAUAUUAUUAUAUAUUUAUUUUUUUUCAAAUUCAGGUUUAAUAUUACAUCAUUUUCUUAGUUAUAUGGCUAUCAAGUAAAUUUUUUUAAUUCAAAAUGUUACACCAACAAAUUUAAUAAAAAAAACUUUAAACAAGGUUAACAAUUGAAUCUUAAUUUUGAAAUCUGUAAAAUUAAGGGACUAAAUUCCUAAAAAUAUAAGUAUAAGAAAUAAAUUCUAAAUUUACAAAAAUACAAAAACUUAACGUAUUUUAACCAUUUUAUAUUAAUGUAAUUGGUUGGUCCUCAGUCCUCACCUCUAUGCUAUACAAGUCUUUAAAUAAGUUAGUCAAUUAACUUCAGUUCAGUAAUUACAAAAAAGAAAAAAAACAAAUGAAAAAUAAUUAUAGAAUUUUAUAUAUAAAAAAAAAGUGAACUGCCUUUUGUACAUUAAUAAUAAUAAUAAUAAUAAUAAUAAUUCUGUUAAAAUAUAAUUUUCAAACUCUUUUUGCACUUAGUGCAACCUAUUUUUAUGUAAUAUAAUUCAUAUUUGAUUCCUUUUUACAUGUAUAAUAUAUACUAUAUAUAUAGAUAUAGAUGAUUCUUUCUUUUAAUAAUUUUUUUUCUCUUCACGUAAGAACCCUACAACCCAAUUUCAGUAAGAACAAAAAACAAUAAAAUCCUAGCAAAUCCUAACACUUCAAUGGCCUCAAGACGUUCAAAGGUUAUUCGUUCAUCGAGCCAAGGCGAAAUAGGUCUGUUUAAUCAGAUAAUGCCAAUAGACUCUCCAACUCCAAUAUCGAAUCGGCUGACACCGGCCCAUUCAGCUGUAAGAAGAGCACCGAACACGGUUCCGAUGCAGCAGCCAAGAACGGCGGUUCCGAAAAAACAGCAGCUGCCAAAGAAGACAAUAUUUAUGUUGGGGUCACCCGAAAGAAGAAGAGAGAUAAAAAAGGACGAAGGGUUCGGGAUCUUUUUUCAGAAUUGUUCCUUGUGCAAGAAGAAACUCAAACCGGAUAAAGACAUUUAUAUAUAUGGGUACGUUAGACACGAUUUUUUACCAUUAGUGUUGGAUAUUCGGGUUUAUUAGUUUAUAUUUACAGUAUAAAGUGAAUCAUUGUUUGAUGAUUGCAGUUACCUAGGCGCAUUCUGCUCCGUUGAUUGCCGAGAUGAUCGAAUAGCUUUGGACGGUAUCGACAAUGAAGUUGUUCCCAAAUUACAAAUAAACAUGAGACCCUCAAAGAGAUUUUGAACCACAAAUUUGACAUUUUCCUGAUAUGUAUCGGAUACAAAUAUUCAGUUUUUUUAAAAGCUAUCAUCGUAUCGAAAUUCUAAUUCGUGCCGAAUAGAUUUGAAAUAAAAAAAAGGGUGUCCUUAGAGAGGAUUAAGCAACAAGCAUUGUCUGCUACAGCUGAAUAUUACAGAGGGAAUGUAAGAGCUAUUCAUUGGUAUGGUCUCCAUUGCAAGAGACAGAGGAACAUGCUUUUGCCAGCCAAUGCCCACUAACAAAAAAGGGUUACUUUCAGAUUAUAUAACCAAAAGAAUCUUACCAUAUAACUUGGUCUGACCCCAUUGUUGAUAAUUAUUUAUUAAACUUCCUUUUAAAACCUUGGAUUAAUAUAUAUAGAGAAAGAAUAAUAGGUUCAGAAGGAACUUAAAAUCAUGAGUUUGCCAAUGUAAUUUGUCAGGUAUAUGAACUGUCAUGUUCUUUCUUUCUUUUUUUUUUUUGUUUCUUUCAUUAUAUCAGUUGCAGGUUCUGAUACUUUUACACCGAAAAGUUCAUCACAGUCUAAUUAGAAGACAUGUUGGUUUUAGGUAUUUGAUUCUUUUAUACAAGAAAACAGUUGGUACUGUUUGAUUGUUUCAGUUCAACAUUCUGAAGAAUCUGAACAAAUAAUUAUUAUAGAAUAUUGCAGGUUGUAACACCUUUUUUUAAGGACAAGAAAAUAACAAUGAGGGCUCCGUUUUAGGGCUUUUUUAUUGUGGUAUUUACUGCUGUUGAUACAAGUAAUUAACAAGGAGGGAAAGAUGGUGAGAAAAGAGUGUAGGACAUGGAGAAGGUGAAGGUUGUUGUGUAGGGCUUUCAGGGAAAAAGGAGCUAACCUUUUAGUCUCUCGUGCAUUUAGGCUUAUAUAGGAGGUCAUCUUUUAUUAUUUAUGAUUAGUGUCACAUAAUCGAUAAUAUGGUAUCCGGUAAAGUUGUACAUGUUAAUUAGAUGAUAAUGCAAUUACAAUUCAAUUGUCAUCAUAAAGUGUAUUGAGUGAUUUUGCUUUUAUAUAUUCGUUUUUGGGGGUUUUACAAAGUUACUAUGGCUUCAUGGUCUUCAUGGGAUGCAUAGCAAGCUGUCUUUUAGAUAAGAUAAUCAAGAGUUCAUCCGCGGGUUGUCUUACAUAAAAGAUUACUACGGACAAUUCCUUAUGAAGAGUUGCGCACAAAUAACAAAAAAUUAUCUGAAGAUAACUCAUGUCUUGUCACGUGUCAUGUUGAAAUGAGUAUAUAAAUGCGACAAAACAAAAAACCACACUAUCCUAAAAUCAGUCCCAUUGUUAGCUUGGCCAAAAAGUAAUAGAAUUAAUGCCAUUUUAAUGAACAAACAGUGGCCAGAAUCUGGUGAAUUUGCUUGGAAUUAAUAAUUAGCCGACCAGAAGGCAACUCCUUCAGUUUUAAAGUGACUAUUCACUGAUAAGGUUUCUCCCUUUGAUAGCUUUCAAGUGAACAUAUAUACCUUUCUUUUUCUGCAAUUCUUUUUCUUGGUCCCUUCUUUGACCGUAUUUGGAAUGGAAUGCACAUGCAUUUUACAUACACCAUUUGCCCCCCUACCCCCUUUUUUCAUCUUAAAUACUCAUUAUACUCGGAUUUCGGUAUUAACCCGAAUAUGAACAUAAGUCCAACAUCGAUAUAUUAAACUUUUUUUCAAUUUUUUUUCGUUGCUUAUUUGUGAGAUUUAAGACCUGCAAUAAUGGUGUACUAAAAAUGACCUAUAAUAUAAAAGUGAUUGGAAUAUUCCCCACUUUUUCUUUUUGGUAGAAAAGCCCCCACUCUUGUUUUUUACUUUCUCUACAUUCCAGAAGGUAAGAACAAACUAAUAAUAUGGUCAAUCAACAUAUAUAUACAUAUAUACUCAUGGCUUCCAUAUAAACCUGCCAAGCCUGCAAAUAUGUCUGCUGCUUUUUUCUGGUUUCAUACACCACAGCAAUAUGCCAAAAAAGUAAAAGUAAAAAAAGAAUGAUGGUGCUAUCAGAUUAUCAAUGAAACCAACUUUUCUCAGUAAAAUCAUUAGCAAAAGCAGCAUGGAGAAGAAACAAAGCAUAUUCUGAUUCUAUUUUUUUCACUUUUGUUUUUUCUCUUUACAUUUAAUUCUUCUAUCACUUUGGUAAGUAUCCAUAAAACCCUUUACUUCUCUUUGCAUUUAAAACAAAAAGUUAACAAACAUAUAAUGAUUAUAUAUUUGACCAUACUUUCAUCUUUUCUUUAGUUCAUCAAAAGAAUAUUUCCCCUAAAACUAAACAAAUCAUGAAUAAAACAAUCUUCAAGUACCCUCUCUCAACUUCUUUUCCUGCAAAACCAAAAAAAGGGUUACAUCAUUAUCGUAUAAGGAAGCUAAUUUUUGGCUUUCUAAGUAUGAAGAAGUAGUCAGCAGUACCUGUGGAGAACUAUCGGAGCUUGUUUCGAGAUGGAUUAGAAGUGGACUUUUUUGUUAAUCAGUUGCAUUGAGAUUGGAAUGUUGUAAGCUGACAUCAUGUUAUGAUUGAGUUGGAAUUCAAGUUAGUUAAGUUUACACCUGAUCAACAAACAUGAAAACAAGAUUAGUCGAAGAAAUUAAGAAAUAGUAAACCGAAAAGGGAAAGAAGAAAGAAGAGAGAACCAACCUUUUUUUGGUUAGUGAGCAAAGGAAUGUCUCUAUCACCCUCAAAAAUGGAUCUCCUCAAAGUGAAUUUUACCUGCACAUGGGACCAACGUUAUCAAACACUUCAAAGCUGGUUUUUCAUGUAGAUUGUCGUUAUCUAUUGUCAAGUGGCCAUGAUUCAGUUUCUAGGAAGAUAUGUUGAAGGCAAUCUUUUCCAUGUUUAAAAGCUAUGGGAGUAAAGGAUUAAAGUCCAAGGACCACAAUCACAAAGGAGUCUUGAGUAUGGAUACUUGUUUUAUUUCAGACAAAUCUGAUGCACUAGAUGGAAAAAGGAAAAGCAAUAUGCUCGAUAAGGAUUUACCUGAUUGAUUCAGGAGACAAAUUAUUGCUGAUAGGUAGAAGCACAUUGAAAUUCUUGCCAAUUGAUAUUUAAGCUCCUGGUUUAAACAAUAGGAAUCACUUAAGUAAUGGUUAAAAAAAACAAAUAUUUGCAAAUAUAAAUAGGCAUUCACGUGUGUGUGUGUGUGUGUGUGUAGAGAGAGAGAGGAUACAUUGAAUGCAGGUCGUAACCUCCUUUAGAAAAAAUUUAGCUCGGUGUAUCCAUGCGCAUACGGCAAAAGCUCCUCUACCUCAAUCCUCCUCGAACUAGAAUAACUCAUGCUCUUCUUAAGUUGACCACGGCUUGACUCAACCUCAGCCCAAAAUAUACCAUAAACCGGUCUGUGAUCUGAGAACUUAGAUUCCCCACGGACAUAAGAUAAUUGAUGAAUACCUUCUCCGUACCACAGUAUCCGGUCACACCUUCAUACAAAAAAAGUUCAAGUCAGUACACUUCUUCAGAGCUAUAGUUUUAACUACUUUAUCGUGCCAUACGGCGGAGGCAGUUUCUUACCAAGCUGGAGUUCGACAUUUCUCCUUUGGGUGCAUAGCAUCCCCUGUAUACCUAUCUGAAUUAGUUGAAUACUUGUAUGUUGGUGGGAAGUAAAUCUUUCCUUCAUGCCAUCCCUUAAAAACGCGCCCUCUUUUUUGCUCUAUCCUUAGCUGCCAAAUUAUCAUCAAUGAAAGGUUUUCUUAUUAAAUUUGACAGUAGAAUUUGUUGUACGUUAUUCAGGGCCUGUGAAGAUAUGGAGAAGUAAAAGCAUACCUGGUCAUUUUCUAACAAUGCUCUCCAGUUCUGCAUUUCAACAAGUGCCUUGGCAGACCGGUAAGAGAGAGCAAUACGAUAAUUCAAAUCCCCGAGCCAAAUUAUUUGACUGGAUUAAUAUAUAAUUAGUCAGUAUAUGCAAAAAAAAUAAAAAAUAAAAAAGCAUAUGAGAACAUAAACAUUGAUAUUUUUAGCAUAUGAACCAAGUCCUUACUCAUGCUCGAGGAUUGUUUCAGGGGACUUCUCAUUAGCUUCACUAUGAACCCGUGGAAACCUCGUCUUCUUAAGAAUCUCCAUAACAUCCGAGUUUCUCCUUAGCUCAUCACCCUCCUUUUGUCCCGAAGUUAAAUGAGUGCAAAUGAAGCAAAAGCUUGUUUGAUGUACCAACAUACUGACAGAUAUAGAACCCUGGCAAACCAAGACAUAUAGGUUAAACAGAAGUGCUUCUUAUUCUCAAGCAUAAGAUAAGUAAAUUAGAUACGGUCAAGUAAUACCUUAUUUCCAAGAUAACCCAUCAAUCCUCUGCCAACACAAGAUACUUUCAUGUUUUUAAUAUGAUCUCUCAACUCGCUUCUCACCCAAAUUGUGAUAAAUAUACCAACCAUUUGCUUACUAGCCACUAAGCAGUACCUUGAAUGUCCAGGCAUCCUAUAUCCCGGUUCAUUCGAUGCAGAUCCACCAUAGGACAUUGGCGAGUGCAAUACAGUACUUGGUGAUUCUGUGAUUCCAUUAUCAUCAUCUGAUGAACCCCAUCUGGAGUAAUCACUAGGUCUAGAGUAAUCGCUAGGCCGGGAGUAAUCACUGGGCCUAUUACCCCAUCUAUAACUAGAAUCAUAGUCACUUGGCCUAUGACCAAAUAUUACCCUAUCACAAACACUGAACCGCCUGUCAAGUCGUGGUUGUGGAAUCGAGGGAUCAUUGUCCAUUCUCCAACUGCUGGUUGUCUGGAAUGAUCUGCGGUGAAAGAAAGACGGAUUCUUCUGCCUAGAUGACCCUUCAAAAUCAGCAUCCAUCUCCACAAUAGGCUGAGGAACAGGAGAUGGUGUAUAGCAACCCCCACCUCCACUUGUUCCGGGAAGAUUGUUAAGAGUCUUCCUAAUGAGAGACAACCAUUUUUUGGCCGGACCAUUGUCUUCUGCGCCCAAAAUAUUCCCAGCAUUCAAAGGAACUAUCUCUUGAAACCUGUAAGAAAUCAAUGAGGAAACAAAUUAUUCUAUGAACAAUUCAAAGUUUGGUAAACAAGACAUGAAGAUCAAAACCGUCAAAACAUACCCAAGGACAUAUAUAUCUGCAGGAGAUGAUGCAUGAAGCAAAUCUUCUAGAUUCAAAUUACUCAGUGGCGAUCUUCCGGCCACAUUCCAUGUAGAUGCAAAAAUGCUGCUCCAAAGGACAAUAGAAGAACAGUUGGUACUCAUGCAUCACAAAAAAAACAUAUAAUAUUUUUAGGAAAAACAUACCUAUAAUUUUCGACAUCUAUGAUUCGAGGGUGAUCAAGAUUCAUUCUCCCUCUCCGGCUCCGACUUUGCUCCGUAUUCCUACUAAAUUUUUCUACAAAUCAUAGCAGCAUUUAGACAAUUAAUAGAAAAACAACAAAAUAGUCCCCAAAAAAAUUAGUGAAAUAAGAUUAGGAACCUGUUUUACUCUUUUUGAUUGUGCAUGGCUCCCUUUCUGAGAAGCUAGUCCUGUAUUCCACUUCACCUCCUGAAGAUUGAAAAACAAAAAAAACAAAGUUAUAUAUACAUGUUAUGAACCAGAACAGGAACUGUACCAACCAAAAAGAAUAAAAAUUGAAGUUACAAUGGAAUCAUUUUUAGGAUGCCUUGUCUGUUUUGAUGGGAAAUUGCAUGAAAAAGAGUACUUAAAAAUAGAAUCCAGGAAAAGACAAAGCCUUGAAAUAACCAAGUAAUCCAUUCUAAAUAAGUUAGCUUGGUCUGAACAGAUAAGAGGAAGAAUAUUCCCUUUCUUUUUUUGACAUGAAAGCUUGAGAUCCUAGCUAUUUUUUUUAUGAAUACCAAGCAAUCACUGUGAAAAUUAACGCUCCUCAAAGUACUCACCUCCUCCAAAAACAUGAUCAUCUGCUUGAAAAUCCUCAGUUUUGCUCUUGAUAUUGAACCAUUUUCUGACCAUCUUUUUGGACCAUGAGAGCUACACAAAAUGAAGGAAAUUUUAGUCAGUUAAAAACCUUCAAUUUUUUUUGUUCUUUCACAAAUUUGAGAAUUGAAAACCAGAAAGAGAGAAAGAGGAAGAAAGAAAAGAAAAGAAAAACCUUGCUUUUCUUGGCUUUCCCAUCUCUCAUUGUUGGACUUUUGCUUCAUACACCUCCAAAUUUACUCUUUUUUACUAUUCCCGAAACUCUCAACUUUGCUAACAAUCACCAAGAAAAAAAAAACACUGUUGCUACUUACUACAACCCCAUAUAGGCAGCAAACUCCACCGAUCCUUCCCCGAUUUCAGGCCUUUUUUAACUUAGAUUAAAAACAAGCUGAAUUAUUUGAUCCCAGAUAAUCUUCAACUAAGAAAACAAAUGUCCCAAGUCCCCUACCUUCACUUUCCUCAAAAUCAAAGGCUAAAGCUAAAGCAAAGAGAGCUAAACAAGAAAUGGGUUUGCCUUAGUUUCUUGUUCCCAGUAAGUGAAAGCAAAGAAACAAGCUCAAAAAACCCAGAAAACAUGAAGCUCCAACGACUAAUAUAAAAGAAAAAGAGAGAGAUAGAGACAACACUUUAAUGCUAGGAAAUAAUAUGAAAAGAAGGGAGAUUCUUGAAGCUAUAACAAGACAAUGUGGGCAAACAUAAAGAGAAAGCAAGGGGAAGAAAGUCUAGAGAGAGAAAGCUCGUAAGACAAACACAAGCAAACGCAAAGGCAAAGCAGCCCCUUCUCUCUCUCUCUCUUCCUUCUCUUUACUUUGUUAGAAAAAUAAAGAGAGCAGCAGCACACCUCGUUAUCAGUAAAAAAGCAAAGUAAUGAAAUUUUGAAUGGAAUAAAGUGCAAAAUAAAUAUAGAGAGAAACUCUGUCACACACUCUCUUGUUUAUGUUUGCUUUUUUUUUUUAUGGAUUUUUCUUUUAAGAGAUUUAAAAAUUUAUAGAGAGGCUUUUAGUUCCAUCUAAUGUUACAGGCUAUUUCAACAUGAAUGAAGCAAAGAGGUAAUGUCGUUUUGUACCAUGUACUGUUAAAACGACAAGGGUUUAUGGUCAGCAAAGUGUUUGAAGGGGGGUUUCAAAUUUAAGCUGUCUUUGAAUCACUUUGGGCCAAUAUACUUUUUCCUAUGUGAGUUUAGGUUUAUUAUUCGAUUUGAUAUCCAGGUCAAAUAAUAUUUACUUGAUCUGAUAAAUAUUUAAUAGGUGUAUUCUAAUAAAAAAGCCAAAAAUACUUAAUUAAAAUUAAAAAUAAAAUUCAAGUAUAAAUUAAAUAUUGAAACUAAGUUUAAGUGCUUAAUUUUGGAAAAAGAAUGAAGUAUCAAAUUGAAAAAUUUUCAAUUACCAUUUUAAAUGUUGAAGCCAGAUAUUAAAGAGAAGGAGAUAGGACUGUUAUGGAGCGAGGCUUUUUUAAAUUACAAAAAUUAUGUGUAAAUCUCAUCAAAUAUCGAGUUGAGAUUAAAAAAUAUUUACAUGAGAGAUUAUGAUUGUAUUUAAAUGAUAGAAAUAAAACGGAGACAAGCAUAUAGGUAUUGCAUGUAGAUAUGCAUACACGAUUUCGAUUUUGUAGGAAUAUAGCUUACGAGGACAGGAAGCAAGUAUCACUUUUUGCUCCGAGGGAAGCCCUUAUUCACGCUAAGAAAAGCGGUUGGGUAGUGAGAAUGAUCGGGAAAAACAGGAAGCUUCUAAACCAAACGAUAGACACUAAGGCAGAAGGAGUAAACUGGAGAUAUAGGCCAUUGGUGGAGGACAUCAAGAGGCUGGGAAACGUAUGCUAUGAGGAAGAAGGAUUGGAAAUGACAACGCAGAUCAAUGAGGAAAAUUCAAGAUGCUCAACAUUUGCCUCUAAUUCCCAUACUAAUGUUGUUUUAAAUAAUAACUUUAUUAUGAAUAAUAGCCUAUGAAACAUGUCUUGAUAUCAAAAAAAUUAAACUCUCGAAGUCAUUUAUUGGUCUUUCAUCCAAGUAAAAAAAGCAAUUAAAGAAGGUUCAUCUGUCUUUGUAUCUGUAGAAAACUAGAAAUUUUGAGGUUUUUCAAGAUUCCCCGUAAAAUAUUUUCUUUGGGUUAAUUCCAUUAAAAUCUUCAUAUUAUUAUAUCGAUCUUAAAUUAGUCUUUCAACUUCAAAUCACUCUAAUUAAAUCCUUAAAGAAUCUGUAUAUAUCAACCAGAAUCUUCAAUCAAUUUAAUUUCAAUUUAGACAUUAAACAUAAAUACAUGGAUCAAACUGUAAACAUAUUUAUAAUUUAGUUCACGUCUUAAAUAUAUCUCUCCUAAAUGAAUGGACUAAUUAUCAGAAUAGUCCGAAUGGUACUGAUUGAUAUGAUAAAGACUAAAUUAAAAUCCGGGCCAUAGAAUAUUUGGUUGUUAACCAAUCUAACUAUUUUCAUUAAAUACAGGGUUUAAUGGCCUUGUAAUCGAAGGCAAAUGCCCCAGUCUUUAAGGUGUCGCUGUUAUUUAUUCUUCAUCACUCACUCACCUACUACUUUCUUUUUUUUUAUCGAAACACCUACUACUUAAAUAGAAGCUACUUUCAAUAGGACCACAUUUUUGGAUUUAUCUAAUCUGGGCUUUUUUUUUUCUAUUAAAUUUCAGCCACUUAUGAGAGCCGAAUGAGGAGCCUCUAGGGAAAAAAGCAAGCUUAAUUCUAAAUUUCUUUAAUGGUAGUGUGGAGGAUAUUUCUAAAGUCUCCGCCGUCUAGGGCGGCUCCUCGGGCCAUAAACAAUCCUUGAUUAUAUAAACUCCAAUUUUCUCUUUAUAUUUUUAUAUAAAAAAAUGCAGUCAAACAUGUGCUUCAUUUAAGAUUUUAAAGCUAUGUAUAUAUAUACAUAUAGUUUGCUAUUUUGACUAGUCUUGGCAAAGACUGCAUUUUAGAAUAUGGUUCACGGGCUUUUUUCUUUAUUGAGCCGACUGCUGAAGAACAUUCCAUAUGUUGGGAUUAGGGUUAUAAAUUGUGAAUUCUUUUAUUUUUAUUUGUUUAUUGAAUUUAAAUUUUUAUUACAUUAUUAUUAUAAAUAUAGGGGUGGAAUAUUUUUCUUGUUUUCUAAAGGUAUUUACAAGAAUGAGCUCAGUAAUUAAUCUUCCGAUUUUGUAGGCUCAUUAAGGGGAUAAAUAUUGAUCACAAGAUUUAAAACUAUUUUAUAUUCAGAGCGAAGAUCGAAUCCUCGAUUAUUAGUUAAAGUAGGAAAAAUCUUUAUUAUUUCACCUAACUCCCGUGAUAUAUAGAGAUAGAAUAUUAAACCAAUAACGUGAUGGGUUUAUUAAUAUAGUCAAGUUUGCAAUUAUGAAAAACCAAUAAUGUUUUUGUAUAAUCACAAAACUAAAUUCAAACAUGGUGAUGAAAAUACCAAACAAACUAUUUUUUUGGUCAACCAAAAUGGAUUAAAGUUUUUAGCUCAAAUAGCAAUGAAUCAACAUAGAACGAUAGGAAAUGCUUGCACCCAAUUUUUUUUCAAAGCAUGAAAUGAUGAGUGGACUUCCAUCUGUUCCAACAACGUUUCAUUUAAUCGGUGGCAUAAAAUAAAAUUAUUUGACUCCAUGAAAUCGAUUGGGACGUGAUUUCAGAUUUUAUGAUUAGAUAUUUUAAAAAUAAUUAUAAUUCGAUAUUAAUAUUUUUAAUUCCAAAAAUAAAAAUAAGAAGUUGUCACGUAUUUUUUUUUAAUUAAUAAUUUUGUGUUCGUUUUAUGAUUUAUGUUGGAUAUUUUUAACUGUUUAAUUCUAUUUAUAGAAUUAAAAAACUUUAAAAAUUUAAUAUUAUAUUAAAUUUCUGAAAUGUUCUGUCGUAUUUUAAUGUGGGUCUCGUUGGGAAUCAUUUGAAGCAAUAAGAAGAAAAAGCAAAAACUUGAAUAAUACAAAGCAACAUGUAAAAAGUGAUUGCUUGUAUUAAAGACCAAAUGAAAAAGAAGAAGAAAGGGGCCAUAUUUGUGGUAUUCGGAUAUCUAAAGAUCAAAGGGAAUGACCCUACUUUGGGAAAUCCCUGUUUUUUGCAUUCACAACUUGUACUUCAAUUUACAUAAUUUUUUUAUAUUAUUUUUGAACAAUUUUAUUAUAGGUUUUAAUUUUAUUUUCUGUUUUUUUGACACAAUACUUAGAAUUAUCUAUAGUUUCUCCUCAACAUUUAAGUAUGAAGAUUAUUUGCUUCAGUGCACUUGAACCAACGUCUUCCUGUACUAACAACAAUGUCUAUGCCAAUCGAGCUAAGACUCAAUCCACAACGUUUUUAAAUAAAUUAGUUAAAGGUGUAAUACGUGUCUAGUAGAUUAUAGUAAAAUAAAUUAAAUAGAUAAAUGUUACAUAAUUAGUAGGGGUUUUGGUUUUCCUAAAAAUAAGAAAAUUGCUUAUACAAUUCCUUUAAUUUCUAAAAAAAUCAUAAAUUAAUAAAAUGAUAAAAUCAUAUUUUCACCUUUCAAAUUUUUGUAUUCGUUUUUAAACCCUAGAACAAUUUAUUGGCUUUACCCUUUCCACAAUAUAUAUAUAUAUAUUGGUAUCUAAGGAACAAGCUUCUUUUGGAUUCAAGUAAAACAUGAUGAAAGAAGAAAUUGGAUGCCGCAUUUUUCUUUCUUGCCUCAGUGUAUGGGAGACAAAAAACACUGUUUGUUUAGUUAUUGACAUUUUUUUUUACUUAUUUUGAUUUGUUUGUACAUAAAUGAAUUUUUUUACUUAAAAUGUAAAAUUUAUUCUAGUAAUUUCAUACGCAUAUAUGCUUAAUUUCCAUCCCUAGAACUUGCCCUUGAUUAAAUUGUUUUAUGGUGCAGUACUAGUCUAAAUUCAAUUCAUUUGAUAUUUAAAAAAUAUUUAAAUAAAUUAUUGAACAUUUUUUUUUGACUUACGGCAUAUUUGCUCAAAUUAGUUUAUUUUAUUAGUAGUAAUAAUAUACAUAUUAUAUAAUAAUCAAUCCUUCAUAAAAUUUUAUUGGUUUCUCAAAAAAUAAUAUUUUUUUCGUAAGAAUAUACAUAUUAUAUAAUAAUCAAUGUCACCUCACAACAAAAGAGAAUCUUUCAUCCAUAAAAUCAUGAAUUGCAGAUAACACCUAAACCAUAUAAAAUCAUUUGGACAACAAAAAUCUGUUUAUCAAUAAAAAAUUCUCAGAAUUUCAAUUAUAAAAAUAUCAAAUUUAACAUACGAAUCUAGAACUUCAAAAAAAUAAUUUUAUAAACAUAUAUCCAAAGUAUGACUUUCAUGUAAAUAAGGUAUUUGAGAAGGAAAAAUGAAGAACAUAAAGGGUUAAAAAAAACAAUAAAGAAUGGGGAAGAAGAUUUUGUAUGCUUUAUGCUUUUUGUAUUUUGGUGGGUGAAUCUUAAGUUAAAGCCUUAAAGGCUAAAAUUAUUAUGAUUUACGAGGCAGCCAAAACAGGGUUAGUAGUCGUUUUCUCUUUGAGUUUUUUUUUUUUAAUUUAAAUUUAUUAUUGGUGCUUUUUUUUUUCUCUUGCCUUGAAAAGACUCCAUUCCCAUUGUUUUUUUUUUAAAUCUUUUUCUUUACCAAUGUUUCUAUCUAUUUUUGUUCUUUAAGGUAUGGGUUGACGGCUCAUAAUAUGUCACUUUCUUUGGCAUGUGUCAUAUCUACAUGCAUGAUUAUAAAUAUGAUAUAAUAUAUAGUUGAAUGUAAUGAUAAGAUACAUUACAUCUUUAAGGGGAGGACCCAGAUUCAAAUCUUAAAGAUGAUAUUGUUGAGAGGAGCAGUUAUGAACCCCGAAUAUGAAUCGUAAAAUAGACAUAAAAAAUAAAAAAAAAAUCAAUAAAUUGAUGAUUAAAGUGUAAUGACUCUAUAUUGUUAAGAUUGAGAAUGUAAAUUCGAAUUUUUUUAAUUUUUAAAAACUUUGAAUCAUAAUUAGUCUCAAACUUAAUAUUUUAAAAAGAAUCGAAUGAAAAUGAAAUUGUUAUAACAAAACAAUUUAUUUGGCUUAAUGGUAUUGUCUUUGAUGAAAAACGAAAACACUAGAAAAUUAAAAUUCGAAUAUUAAAAUAUUAUUACACAAUAUUCUAUUAAAAUAAUUAAAAGUAUCUACUUCGAUGUCAUUUAUAAUACUUUUGAUUGAGCUCGGAGAAGAAGAGACAUUGAUUUAAUUAUGGAAAAAUAAAAACAACCCUUUUUAAAAAUAAAAUAAUAAAAUGAAUAGGAUUUUUUUAUGUAUUUUGCUAUUUUUCUCUUAAAAACAAAUUAAAUAUAAUUACUCGUUAUCUCCUUUUCUCAAUAAUUAUCACAUUAAAUUCUUUGUAUUGUCCUAAAAACCUACCCAUUUAUUUUUUGAAUUUUUGAAAUAGUCCAUCAAAUUUUGAUUCGGUUGGAUUCUAUUUUCGGGUUUUAUUAAUUUUUUAGUUUGCAUUUUAGUCUCAUGUUGAUAAGAUGAAUCUUAUUUUAGGGAUUUUGAAUAUUAUUUAAUAAAAUUUUAAAGUUUAUUUUCAUAAAUAUUUCUAAUAACUUUCAAGAUUUUUUAAGUUAUUUUAAAUAAUUAAAUUAAUUAUAAUUUAAAUAAAAGUAUAAUUCAAUUCAGUUUCUAAUAAUCGUGAUUUUUUAACUCAUAAUUCAUGUCGAUUUAGCUCUGACGAUUUUCAUUCAAGUAAAAUCAUUUUCUUUAUUUAUCCACUCUCUUUAUUAUUUUUAAUUUUCUUUAUUUUCAUAACAGGAGGAGAAUUAUAUAUUGAUAUAAUUAAAAUUUUAUGAAUUUGGAUAGAUUAUGCAUCCAUGAGACCAGAGCUAGCUCUGGAAUCUUGAAAUGAAUUGAUUAAAGUGAUGAAUAUUUUGAUAUGGAUUGACUUUAAUAUACAAUGAGAGUAUAUGUAUAUAUUGAUGACGCAACUAAAAAAAUGGGUCAGGAGAAACACACACCACUUGCUCUUCAAACAGUCUUUUUCAACAUCAUGUCCCUCUCUACCCAACUCUUUACUUCCCAUUUAUUUUUUCCUUUUAAUCAGAUUUCCAUGGAUUCUUCUGUCUUACAUAUUUUGACUAUAAUCUAUAAUUCCUUUUUAUAUUAUUAUAAGCAAAAUAUAAUAAGAUUUAUAUAUAUAUAUUUCCUUGACUUUUUAUUUCCUAUAGAAUAUUCUUUAACCUUAAUCCUACGUGAAGUUAAUCAUUUAUUCCAUGACUUUUUCAUUUCGUCGGGGAUUGGACAAAUAUUAGACUAUCCCAAAGGGGACAUGUAGUUAAAGAAGACAUGUAUCAAUUUAUAAAUUUGGUGGUUGUUUUUAAAAAAUAAUAAAUUCCGGCAAUAAAUGAUAAAAUAAUCCAAUUUAAUUAUUAUUUUAAGAAAAUUGUUUAAUUUACGUUUUAUAUUAUUUUUAUUUCUUAUACAAAUCCUACUUUUAUUUAUUAGUAUUAUUUUUUUUCCAACUAUUAAAUCGAAAGAAAACUCGUUUAAACAUGUUAGAAUUCCCAUUUUCCUUAUUAUGACAACACCACCAAUUGAACUAAAAGCUCGAUUAUGUUAUAUUAUUUUUACUUAAAUUAAAGAAAAAGUAAUCAAUUAAUUAUUUCUUUGAUUAUAAGCUUAGUAUAUUAUCCACUUUCAGUAUGUUUUAUUUUAAAUAAUAUAUAAAAUAUGCAUGCAAAAUUAUUAUUUAGUAUAUUGAUGUUAAGGUAUUUUUAAUUUUUUUUGGAGAAGUCAAUAAUUCUCUUAACAUAUUCAGUACUGUUUUUAUGAGAUUUUGUUUUUCGACCCAAAGUGAUAAAUUUAAUAUACCGAAAACAUUUGGUCAAGUCGGACUGUAAAGGACACGUAAGAAAAUGUUAACAUCUGCUUCCACUUUGAAUGGAUGAUACUUCAAACGCAAUUAAAUUUUUUAUAAACUUCACAAAUAGUAUUAAAAUCCGUCAUAUGUCACAGUUAUUGGACCUUCAUCACCAAUGUACCAAAAUAUACAUCACCUAAACAAUGGCCUAGAAGGCCCAUAACUAAAUCUGUGAAAACCCUAAAUUAGUCCAAGUAAUUUAGUCCACAAGUUACAGUCAAAGAUACUAUAAGCCCACAAUACUUUUUGAGGCUAACUUAUAUAACACUUGUACAUAGUCUUAAACAGAUCCAUAACCGAUGUGGAAUUUCAAUGCAUUGGGCUUAAUCCAUCUGAAAGUUCAUUUUUCCCUCAAAGCCGAACACAACCAGCGAGGCCUCCGGCUUUAGAGUCGGCGGAAACCGCGAACUCAGGAGGAGAGAAACCAGCGAUCCUUCUCAUCUACCGCAUAUUUCCUGGGUCUUCGUAUCUGUCUUAUGAUGUCUAUUUUCUUCGUCUUCUCAUUUCCUUUUGCAACUACAAACAACAAUUCUUAAUAUUCAAAAAUAAAAAAAAAAAAUGGCGUCUUUACUUCUUCGUCAACGAAGAGUUUCAGUUUUGGGUGUUUCCCGGAUUCUUCAAGGUUUGAAUUUCAACCUUAUUUAUUUGAAAAGAGAAAAGGGAAAAAUUUUCCCACUUUUUGUUAUAGAUUCAUUGUGAACAUGUGAAAUUUGAUUAGAUAGAUGGAAUUCUUGAUUGCCCAUUUCUUAGUUUUUAUUGCAGGAGCUUAGCAAAAUAAAAAUAAAAAGUUCUGGUUCAGUUUUGAUUUACAUUUUUAAAGUUUAAUGUUUCAGCUGUUAAUGGUGAUUCCUCUCGACUACAACCGGAAUCGAAUUGCAGGACAUUUGCUAGAUUUGGUGUAAUAAUAAGGAAUUACAGCAGUGGAAAGGGUACUGCAAAGUUCGAUUUUACUGAUCUCACGUAAGAACUAUAUGACUAACAGCUAUUAAUAGUGAUUUGUUUGGCUUGGAUAGGCAUAGGCAGCCCUUUUUUUGGUUUCGAAUUAUGUUGGUUAAAAAUCUACAAUUUGAGGCUUGUUCCAAUAGCACCAUUUCAUUCUAGUUAUAGGAAUACAAAAUCUUGAAAGACAAUAGACUCUACAAAUAUAAAUGUCUAGAUUUUUAAAUUUGAUUAAUUAUCUGUGUUUUAGUUUCGAAUACUAAUUUUCUGGAUUAUGUAACUAAAGCAUACCUGUUUCCGUUCUCCGAAUUCAAAACUUAUUGGCUAUAAGUUUUUCUUACUACAGGGUUAUAGUCCUUGUUCAAAAUUUCCAUUAAUUGGGAGAUUAUAAAAAAAGAAAGGAAGAUGUUUCUGCUCACUGAAUUUUGUUAUGUAAUUUCUGUAUAUCAUUGGCAUUUUUGUGAAAUUAUUUUUUGUUUAUCUCAGCCGACCUCAUACAUGGUAUCCUAAUGCUCGAAAAAAGCAACGCAAGGUUUUCUUGCAUGUAGGUCCGACAAAUAGUGGUAAAACAUACCAUGCUCUGAAGCGACUUGAAUCAAGUUCUUCUGGUAUAUUUACAAUGCUACUUUUACCAGGACUGGCUUACUUUUUUUUUUUUUGGUAGUCAGUGAAUGAUUGAACGGGAUUGAAACUAGUAAAAUAAACUGAAAAACUAUUUUUGGUUGGUUCAUUCCCUAUUCAGGUGUAUAUUGUGGCCCUUUAAGAUUGCUGGCAUGGGAAGUGGCAAAACGGUUGAACAAAGCGAGAGUUCCCUGUGAUUUAAUUACAGGACAAGAGAAGGAUGAAGUGGAUGGUGCAAAGCAUAAGGCUGUAACUGUUGAGAUGGCUGAUGUAACAUCUGAUUACGAAUGUGCUGUUAUUGAUGAAAUACAGGUAACAUCUGAUUACGAAUGUGCUGUUAUUGAUGAAAUACAGGUAAGUCCAUAUUUAAAUGAAAGAUUCACAUACAAUAUUUACCAAGUUCACAAGGAACAUUGCUGUUAAUUAUUCUCUCAGUGUGCGUGCAGAUUUGUUAAACAUAAAUUGAAUAGAACGACUUAUACGAUUCUUGUGCAACUUAACAGAAACUGUUUUAAGCAUUUUCCCUUAAUGGCAAGUCACUUAGUUUCCAGUUAAAUUUCUCUUUCUAUGCAGAUGUUGGGCUGUAAGACUAGGGGUUUUUCAUUUACACGUGCCCUGUUGGGAAUUGCUGCUGACGAACUUCAUCUUUGUGGAGAUGCAGCUGCUGUUCCUCUUAUUCAAGAAUUAUUGAAAGUGACUGGUGAUGAUGUCCAGGUAAGCAAUAGUAUGGAAUUGCUGUUCUUCUAUAUAAUGCACUGUUGGAUAAGUAGAAAUAUUGUUUUUUUACCGGUAUUUGGUGUCUAGCGUUACUGACUAGUCAGAAGAAUAACUUUCUUGUUGCGGCCAUGCUCGUGACCCACUUUUGAUAUAUCUGUUCUAUAUUGUCGGUAUUUUGCAUCACAUGGUUUUCUAAAAUCCCAGGUCCGAUCUUAUGAGAGGCUUCUACCAUUAGUUCCCUUGGAAGUUCCACUUGGUUCUUUUUCGAACAUAAGAACAGGUGAUUGCAUUGUAAGUUUUUCACGCAAGGAGAUAUACAAAUUGAAGGUCAGUAGUGCUUGCUUUAUUUUCUCUUGGCUAACUACUGAUAUGUUUCAGUACGUUAAAACAUUAGUUUUUCUUCUUACUAUUUUGUGUCAGCGGUGUCUUUCAUAGAAAAGAAAUUGAAUAUGCUUUCUGAUUUCGCCAUCUUUCAUAGAAAAAAAUUGAAACUGGGGGAAAGCAUCUUUGCUCCGUGGUUUAUGGUUCAUUGCCACCAGAGACUCGGACAAGACAGGUAUUGUCUCUUUCUGGCUUUAAUUGAUCACCAAGUAUGUGUGUGUGACUGAUGGUAAUUAUAUUCUCAUUGUUGCUCGUUUAUUUAUUUAUAUUUGUUUAUUAUUAAUACGGCCUUUAGGAUUGCAGGCAACGAUGUUUAAUGAUGCAAGCAGUGAGUUUGAUGUUCUUGUGGCCAGUGAUGCAAUUGGGAUGGGUCUUAAUCUGAACAUUUCUAGGAUAAUUUUUUCAACAAUGAAAAAGUUUGAUGGUCUGGAAAUGCGGGAUCUUACAGUACCAGAGGUCAAGCAAAUUGCAGGUUCCCAUUUCAUUUUUAGCUGUACUUUGAAAUUUUAUUUCUAUAUGAACAAUGAACUUUUUUGGUCAAUUUUCCGUCUUAAGACAUUCGCUAAGGGUGGUAGAAAAAUAUAACAAGAAUCUGCUUGCUCGAGUUGUCAACUGCCAAUUUUCUUAUUUCAUGGGGGCAGACCCUGUAAAGUUGAUAAAUUUUCAUUAGACGGCUUUAUAUUCUUGUAGGGAGAAGUGGUAGGUACGGUUCAAAGUAUCCCAUGGGUGAAGUAACCUGUUUAGAUGCAGAAGAUCUACCUUUGCUUCAUUCAUCGUUGAAAUCCGCCUCUCCUACUUUACAGGUGAUUGUUUUAUCACUAACUUUCCUAAAAAUACCGCCUUGAUCUGACGUUCCAUUUUCAAUGGACCUGAAUAAGCAGCUUUUAUAUUUAUUUGCAUAUUGGUUCAGCAUUUUUUGUAUCUUGACUCUGUCAUUUUUACAACACAGCAAGCUGGAGUAUUUCCAUCCUUUGAUUUCAUUUAUAUGUAUUCACGUUUACAACAGAAAAGAGGUCUCUAUCAGAUAUUGGUAGGUUAUCUUAUGAUAUUAUUCCGUCUAUCUCCUUCCUCUUGUUUUUCCUUUUUUAGUGACAGCUAAAAUGAACCCAUUGAGGGUUAAAAAUAAUUCGAACCCCACUGCCCUGUUUUUGAUUGUUGCAGGAAGAUUUUCUCGAGAAUGCAAAACUAUCCGAUAACUAUUUCUUCGCUAACUGUGAAGAAAUGUUGGUAAGUUUAUUCAGUCAUGUUCCCUUUUACAAAUCAAAAUUUCUUGUCAGAUAACAAUAUCUCCGGUUAUGGAUAUUUAGCUUUUACAAUAUGAAUCAAUGAGUGAUAAAAGGCUGUUUAUUGUCAUCAGAAAGUUGCUGCUGUAAUCGAUGAACUGCCUCUAAGUUUGCAAGAUAAGUACCUUUUCUGCCUCAGGUAACAUCUUUCAAUCUUGCUCCCUCCAACAACCCGAACUUUGUUAUUUGAGUUUGUCUGCUAGUUUUACCAAUGCAGUUUCGAGUUUGCUUAUUAUUAUUAUUAUUAUUAUUAUUAUUAUUAUUAUUAUGAACUUGCUUGGAAUCAACUGGCUAACACAGGUAAAUCUUUGUGCAGUCCAGUUGACAUGAAUGAUGAAAUUUCAUCUCAGGGUCUAACACAGGUAAAUAUUUGUAUACAGUCUUGAUUAUCUUGAAUAUGGAAACUAACGGCUUUCUAUUCUAUCGUUGUGGAUCAGUUUGCCGAAAAUUAUGCAAAGAAAGGCCUCGUUCGUCUUAAAGAAAUAUUCUCACCUGGUUCACUUCAGGUGCCUAAAACGCAUUCUGCUCUCAAGGAGCUUGAAUCCAUUCACAAGGUAUGAGUUUGUUUUUCUCAUGCGUUGUGUGUAAGCUUCGGUUGAGUUUUUCAUUUGGAUGAAUCGUUUCCAAAUUUAUUGUUGUUUGCUCCAUCUGAAGGUGUUGGAACUCUAUGUUUGGUUGAGUUUUCGUUUGGACGAAUCGUUUCCAGACCACGAGUUGGCUUCAUCACAAAAGGCCAUCUGCAGUAUGUGAGUACCCUUUGCCAUACUUAAUCACUUGCUUUGCUUUCCAUUGUUAACCUUACUAGUAAUGUUUUGGAUUUGUAGGUUAAUUGAGGAAUUCCUUGAAAGGCUUGGUUUCCAAAACCCAACAUCAAGAAAGUUAAAUUCAUUAAUGGCAAAAAAGAGAAGACAAUACCUCUGAUUAAAUGUAAACUACUAUUACCAUGUAUUUAUCCAUUAACCCCAUCACCCUGUUCGUUCCCACCACAUAUACCUUUCUGUUUGUCAAACGGAUUUGUUUGUCAAAUUCGGACUCGAGAUCUCAAAGUUUGAAUCUUGAAGUUUUUCCGAUGGAAAUUUCCUGUUUAUUUAUUUUUAGUUAAAUUACACUUGUAAUCGUCUAAUUAUUAGUUACUUUUUUAUUGAUCACUUAUUUAUGAAAGUUAUUAAAUGGUUAUCUAAUUAAAUAUUUAAUUUUACAAUUUUAUUUUUCUUUGUGACUGUUCGCUUAAAAGGCUAAUAAACAUAUUUAUCAACAAAAUUUAAUUGAAGACAUAUAAAAAAUGAGAACACUAAAAAUCUAAAAUAAUAAAUUUUAUUUGUUUUCAUAUUUUUUUUAAAUUAACUUUUACACAUUGAAUAAAUAUUGAGGUUAACUUUUCUUUUUGAAAAAAUUAAAAUUAAAAUUAAAAUAUUUGUAGGUAUUGAGAGUUAAAAUUGCAUAAUAACAAUUUUAAAAAUUGUCGCAUUUAAUCAGGUGAUAAUUAAAAAAACUAAAAUAAAAUCAUAUGGUAACUUUCAAAUAAUUAACAAAAAGAAUUUACUAUUAAUUGAAUUAGUAGGAAUAGCUUUUUUAACUCAAUUCAUUUCAUUAACAAAAUGUAAAAUGGAGUUUCAUGGUAAUGAAAUAUUAACACAAAUCAAAGUAUGAUAGUUACAUAACAAGAUCAAAACCUUUUAAUUUUAGAAUUCAUUAAGUGCUUCAUGCAACCACUCUUACGAUAUGGUAUUUUAUUAGGUCGGAAUUUGGACUGUGAGGCGAGAAUCAUGGACCACGAAGCGAGGUUAAACAUAAGCAUGUUGGCGUUUGGUCGUCCGGUAUCAUCCCUCCUCCUUUGCUUGUAUUAACAGCUUCUAGCAUUCUCACAACCUCCUCCAUUGCAGGGCGUUUCUCCGGAUUCGCAUCCCAACAUUUUUUCAUGAUGUUUGCUAAAGAAUUCGGGCAGCAUCUCGGGAUAUCUGGUCGUAGAUUCUGCCGAUAUACCAUGUAAAAUAGGUUUAAUAUCAUUUAACGAUAUACAUGUAAGCACAUAUAGAAUAGCAAACAAGCAAAAUGACUCCACAUUAUUAACAAUGGUGAGAGCAGCCGGAUACCAAGAUUAGGAUACAUGGAUCUUUUAUGCUUUACUGAUGAAAUAGAAUAACAAGCGAACUAACCUGUCGAACAACAGCAGAUGACACAUCGGCAAAGCUAAGGUCCGGAUAAGGCAUAUCGCAGCAAUAAAUUUCCCACAAGCAAAUGCCAAAGCUGUAGACAUCACAUGUUCUGUUGUAGGGUUUACCUUCAAGAACCUACAUCAUUACAGUUUACAGUUUAGCUUUCUUGUUUUAACAUGGAAAACAGGACCAAGUGUCUAGAAAAAAAAUACGUUCCCUCAAAUCCUCAUGCAAGGCCCGGUUGCAUAUCACAGAGAGAGGGAGGAUUAAUUCUUCAUAAGCCAAGUUUGCAAAUAAAUGAUUAAAGCUUUGAACCACUCAUGCUUUAUCAAUACAUUUAAGAAGGCAUACCUCAGGGGCCAUAUAGCCAAGAGUACCGGUUUCACCUGUCAUGUCUCGUGGAUUCUGAGCUUCAACGCGUGCAACACCAAAAUCUGCAAUUUUAAGGUUUCUAUGACCAUCUAGCAACAUGUUUUCUGUUUUGACAUCACGAUGUACAAUCUUUCUCGAGUGCAGGUAGCUGAGACUGCAAUUUGGAAUAAAAAUAAUCGUCAGAACAAAAAAAAAAUCUUUUACAGACUCUCAAAACCAAUGAUAAGAUGCAUCCCCUUACCCUCUGGCGAGGUCCAGAGCAAGUUGGACCACAAUCUUAAACGCGAGUUUCUUUCGCCUAUUUCUUAUCAAGUAUUGUUUCAGUGUGCCACCAGGGAGAUACUCGACAACAACACAGCAUGCUCUAGAAGGAAGGGGAUUGUGAUUGUCAGCCGAAGGAACUUUCGAAGGAAUCUUAAGGUUUGAAGUUCCCAUUGAGGCCCCUAUAAACUGUAACUCAAAAUUAAGGAGAAAAAACAUAGGUUACAACAGAAUUUUUUCAAAAAAGACGAGGAACUCUAACAUUUUAACCUUUACCAAGUUGAGAAUAGCUUAAUUAUGCAAAGAGAUUGCAUAAAAUUUUCAGUUAGAAGGCCAAGAUUACAUUAAGCCUUCCGGUGUUAUGAUGAUUUUCAACAAAUAAACAUUUCAAGGCAGAACAAAAAAGUUUGGACCUUUGUAACAUUAGGAUGAUCAAGCUUGUGCCAAACAGCAACCUCUUGCCGAAAUGAUGCUCGUAGAGCAGCAGUUUCGGCAGUUGUGGCGAUACCAUCCUCGCCCCAGUCCAGCAGCUUAACUACAAUAUCAAUAUAUAUGACAGCACACUGAGAGCUUGUAAUCAAUAAGAUGUCAGGAGGCUAUUAGUUCUACAAAUAGUCAAUAUUAGAAGAGAGCUGACUAAGACAAUUUCCCCAUAUCCUCCUAUAGAAACCCGAAAGCAUAACUCCUUAGUCCUUACUACACCAAUCCUCGAGGUAACACUAGUCAUGUCCUCUACUAUAUUGUUUUUAAGUUCAGCAAAGGCUAAAAGCCCAGUGAGUGAGAAACUAUCAGCUCCUAUAAAGUCAGUAUUCUAAACCAAACCGUGUUAGUAUUACUAAUCAUGAACAGCAAAGAGAACUCCACUAAAGAUAUAAACAGCUAAAUUAAAUGAAACAAUAUUUAUAUAUAACCAUCUUUAUUUCGAUUGGCAGUUUAGCACACGUAUAUCUUAUAUACCGGAACCGGCUAGCGCUCUACACAAAGGAUAGAGAUGGUCAGACCAAACAGGGACCCUUUAUCACCAUGCCUUAGGCCCUAAUUCAGUUCUACAUAAUGCAUGUUGCUUCAACAUGCAGAAUAAACUACAAAGGGUCUUACCAAUCGAUAUUUUAACUCGAAAAACUAUCAAUACAAAGUUCAAUCACAAUUAACACACACACAAUAUAUAUAUAUAUAGAUUAAGAAUUAACAAAACAUAAUUUUUAAAGCUGCACCAAGCAAACAAGUUAAGAACUAACAUAGAUAAUACAAGUAUAUAUAUUUAUAUGGAAUCUGAAAAUUUACCUGCAACAUCUUGAUUAUCAUAAGUGGCACGAUAAACAGUCCCAUAGGUGCCAUGAGCUAUAACAUUCCUUAAAUCCAACUUAGCCAAUUCAAUCUCCCAUUCCUCAGCUGGCCUUUGUUUCUCAAUGUUCCUAGACCAAACUCGGCUCAGGUGCUUCUCCAGCUGCAUGUCUAAGCUUUUUAAAUCAAUUUGAUCAGCUCUAAAGAUCAUGUCUUUGCCACUAAUGCUUCCAUUGCCCUUCAUCUUUGAAUUUCCACCUCCUUCUAGUCCAUCUUGUUUCUUUGGUGCCUUGAUACCAUUAUCUUCCUCACCAGUUUUGAAAUCCAUAGUUAAAAGAAUAUAACAAAAUCACCAAAUAAAAAAACACAAUUAAAGACCCUUAAACUGCAAAACUGAUAAUAACAAUGGAAUUUAAACUCAAAUUAAAAAAUAAGUUGCAAGAUUCCCCAAUUCAGGACAAGAGCAUUAAAUAUCAACCAAAUAUACAUAUGAUCGGAUAAAAAAAACCCAGUUUCACCAACCCCAAAUCCUAUUAGAACCCUGUAUUCAAAAGUGAACUUAUAACCCAAAUUUUAUGAUUUGCAUUUUAAAAAAAAAUAAGGAAACUGGAUUUUUGUUUAGACCCGAAUUUAAUGAAACCUGGUAGCUUUAACAAAAAAAAACAAAAUCUUUAAUGUCACCAACUAAUUAAAUAAUUCUAAACAGAAAAGAACAAAAACCCCAAAAAAAAGAAAAACAGAAGAGAAAGUAAACCCUAAGAAAACGACCCAAUCCCCACCAUUACCCGAAAUGAAUGAACCAGAAUUUAAAUUAUAAAAAAAUUAAACGAAAAUUUUAACUAAAACCCAAGAAAGAGAAACAGGCAUGCAAAGUAGAGUAAGCAAAAUAGAAUAACAAAAUAGUUUUUUUUUAUUAAUUAAAAAAAACCAUUUAAAAGAAGUUUUUGAAAGAGAAAUUCAGGACGAAAAGGUUGACUUAAAAAUAAAUUCUAUAAGGAAUAACUUGAAGAAAAAGGGAACCAAAAAAAAGAGGGUCGGUGGUGGUGUCGUUAAUUGAAUUGUUUUGAUUAUCAAAACAACAAAAAAAAAAGGUAAUUGAAAAGAUAAAGGAACCGAGAGAAAUAGUUAAAAAAUUAUAUCUUUUUUUGCGGCUGAAAAAAGGAAUGGGUUUUUUUACGGUAGAGUUUAACGGAAAAGAUAAAUAAAACUAAUAGAAGGAAAACAAAAUUGAAGAAUUUAAUUGGAUUUGGAUAAGAAUUACAAGGUAAAUCGCAUUAUUAUAAAAAUAUUAUUAUCCUUUAGUCUUGUUACAUGACACCUUAAAUGUAUCACAUGUUAAAAAAAAUGUUUUUCUAAUAUUAAAUUAUUUACUAUUUAUUAUUUAUUUUUCUCUCUCUUUUCUUUCUCUUCUUCUUAUCACCUAUUUUGAUUUUAAGGGGAAAAUCCCGUAUUUUAAGGCAUAUGACAGUUAUUUUUGUCUGAUUUUGUAAUUUGUAUAUAUACACAUGUACUUUUUGGGCAUUUUAAGGUAAAUGUUUACUUUUUUACCUUUUAGUAUGCUUUUUACUUCCUUAUGGUGAGUGCUGCAACUUGAGCAUCUUCAUGGGCAGAUUAAUAAAAAAGAUAAGAGAAGUUCUUGGGGUUUGAUUGUUGAAAACAAAAAAGUUUGAAUUUUUUGAUGUAGAAAUCUCAUGCUGGAUGUGGACUAGUGAAAAACAAACAACAAAAAUGAGAAUCAGGUACUUAUAAGCAACUUUGAAUCAAGACAUUCAAUAUUUUGACACUGGAAUUAAAACAUCUAAUGUUAUUUUUGCUAUCAACACUGAUAUUGUUAUGGUCAAAGAUGAUAAGGUAUUCUUAAAGUUUUUAUCUUUUUUGGUCUCUAUGAGGUAAAAUUGAACACUUUUUUUAGCCUUAUUUUUUGUUGCAGUUAGGCAAUUUCAUUCAUUACAAGACAACAUUUGUAUCUGGUUGUAUGGUAGGUUUCAUAGCAAUAUGACAUUUAGCUUUGGCUACACUUUUUGUGGUUCCUCUUAUUGCUAAAAUUGGAGCAAUACAUACCAUAAUAUUAGCUAAGCUCUUUGCAAAAACCCAACAAGCUUUAUCACAAGGAGGAAACAUUGUGGAAUGGGUAAAAAAGAAAACUUUUUUUUCAUUGUUCCAAAAUCCGGGUAAUUUUCUAAAUGCUAGUUAAAUUAUAGACAAUGAUUCAAAUUCGGGUUGUUUUGGCUUUUGUCGAUGAAUCAAAAGCCUACUCAUCAACAUUGAAAGUAGCACAAAAGAGUGGUUGUUUUGGCUAGGGUUUGCUGAGAAAGGGAAAUCAGGUGAAAAUGAAGAAGAGAAGGAAGAUAGAGGAAAAAAUAAAAAUAAGAAAACAGAUAAUGUAAUAUUAAAAAAAGAAAAUAAAAUUUUUAAACAUGUGGCACAUUUAACGCAUAUUAGAUGUUGUUACCUAAGUAACAACAGAAAACAGUGGAGUGGAGUGACACCUUUGUAAUAACGUGAUAACAUUACUGGCAUUUUUGUGAGUUUUGAAAACUUCAAUGGAAAAAAAUAAAAAUUAACUAAUGUUGAGUGGUUUUUGGUGGAAUUUACUAUUUAUUUUAUUUAUUUUUGAUAAAAACUUUUUUAAAUGAAACUUGAAAGAAAGGUGCGGGGUUGUUUCGCUUUUUAUUUGUCUGAAUUACAUCUAAGGUCACUAAAAUACUAGUAAGUUUACGUUUUGGCCACACAAUUUUAAAAAGUUACAAAAUGGUCACUAAAUUAUUCGAAUAUUUUCAUUUAAGUCAUUGAGAUGUUAAGUUUUUUUUUUUAAAGUCUGCCUGUCGAGCUCCAAGCGACAAUUCAACUACCGAUACGGAGGAUCAGUACCUAUCAACGAGUAGAAAAACAUACCUUAAAUCCAAGUCAAUCUGACAGCCAGUGUCGAAGAUCAAAGAAGAAAGCUAUUUAGAUUUUGUUCAGUAGAUUCAUGACGUUCAAGGUUGUUUCACAAAAAAGACUGAAUUGUGAAAAAGAAAGGGAAUGAGAGGUUUUGAUUAGUGCAUGCAGGUGAACUUGCAUAACGGUGAUUUUAAGAGCCCGACGACUUAAAUAAAAUUUUUUGAAUAAUUUAGUGACCAUUUUGUAACUUUUUAAAGCUGAGUGACCAAAACGUAAAGUUACUAAUAGUUUAGUGACAUUGAGUGUAGUUUACCUUUAAUAAAAAAAAAGACAUUCGAAAAGAACUAAAAUAAAAUUAUAUUUUAUUGUAUAAAUUUGCUUUAGUACCUUUAUUCUUCACACAUUUAAAAAUUAGUCCUUUUACUUUUAACUUUAGUCUCACAAGUCUUUUGAUUUAAAAAUUGAAACAUAUUUAAUAACACUGUCAAAUGAGUAUUAGAUUAUGUGACAUUUUUAAAAUAAAAAAUUUGCUCACAUGGUCAACAUCACAUGUAUGGAAAGUCAAAUAAGUAAAUAAAAAUUGUAAUUUUUUUAAUGCUAAAAUUGGGGUUAUAAAUUGUUUCAAAUAAGUCGAGUGAAAGUCAACUUUUUUAUUCUUAAAAGGCUUCCACCUUGAUUUAGAUUGGUCAUGUCAAUUUUUUUUUUAAAUAUCAUACAAUCCUUUAAUUAUUAAAUCAAUAAAAGAAAGUAUUAAAUUCUUAAAAUUAAAGGUAGAAAAAUUAAAUUUCAAAUCUGCAAAAUAGUAUAUGGACUGUGAGCAAAUUUAUACCUUUGGGAAAAAGCUAAGAACAAAAGGACUCUGUUUUUAUUUCCUGGUUCAUAAAAUACUCUGUCAUAUUGCAUAUGUUCUGUUUCCUUAUUGUUUUCUGUCUUUUAAUGUUAGUGAACCAUGUUGUUUCUCAUUUUAAUUGAAUUAUGCAAGCUCAUUUUAUAUUUAUGAAAUCUAAUAGUUUAUAUUUUCAUAAUUUUUUAAAAGAUUAAAUAAAAAAAAUUAUCAUUUUGUGUACCAUGUACUAAUUUAAAAUUUUAUAAACUUUAAAGAAAAAAAAUUAACAAUUUUUAUUUUCCAAAUCAAGAUCUUGCCAACCCCCUUAACGUCGCCCCUUCCUCCAAUUCUUAUUACGUGCUUUAUUAGAUUAUUAAUUAUUUAUACUUAUUACAUUCUAAAUGAGAUGUGUUAUUCUUUCAACUUUAUUAGUAGAAUUUAAAAAUUUUAUUAAUCAUAUAUCAAGAAUUUUUAUUUAUAAUAAAAUACAUAUUAAUAAUUCAAGUACAACAUUAAACAAUUAAAAAAUACAAAAAUCAUAUUUAACAUUUUAUAAAAAUAUAAAUACCAAAUCUCACAUUAUCUCAAACUUAAAAUAAUAAUGAAAUAAUGGCAUAUAUGAAGCGAAAGAAUCCAAUAGCAUUUAUACAAAUUUACGACACUUGCUAAAUAUUGGAACAUAAUGUUUGUCAUUUAUGGAAUAAAAAAUCUGCCUUGUUCCUUCACGGUUCUACCGAGGACAACCUUAGUUUACACGAUUUUAUUCUCUCCUCUUUUUUUUUUUUUUUAACUUUAUUACAAAGAAAUAAAAUGUUACGGUUGAAUAAAUUAAAUAUAGUCACAAAAUUUAAUAUUGACUAAUUUAAUUUAAUCUCAAAAUCAAGAAGUUGAAGUGUAUAAGGAGAGUUCUCUUUAAUUAUCAUCAUAUCAUAGUAUAAAAUAAUAUAUAAAUACAUGUAUAUCAAAAUCAUAAGUGUUACGUAAGUUGGCAUACAUUAUUCUUAAUUGGAAAUGUUGAGUUUCCAAUGGUGAAUGGUAGACAAAUGCAUCAUAAUCACAUAUUAUAUCAACAAAGACUUAUUCCUUUGCAAGCUGUUUUUACAUCGUCAAUAUAAAAAUUACAAUUAAAAUAAAUUUUAACUUUAAUUCAAAUUGGUUUUAAACUCCCGUCACUUUGAUUUUAUAAAUAAAAUUCUUUUUUUAAAAAUAAUCUCAUUAUAGAUUCUGAUUAUGUCUGUUCUUUUUGAUACAAUGUCUAAAAUUAUUCAUAGUCCCUCCCCAACACAUAAAUAGGAAGAUAAUGUACUUCAAACUUUAGUACUCUCGAACUCACAUCUUUCUACACUAACAAUAAUAUUCAUACCAAUCGUUACCCGAACUAAACUAUCACAUAAAUUACAUAUUAAUUUUUAUAAAAAAUUGUAAUUCGAUUUUCACCCUAACCUUUUUUUUUUUCAUUUUUAACUUUUUGCUCUUUGCAAAAUUGAUAGAAUUUCUAGCUUGCAAGUUUCAAUCAUGUAGUUUCCAUGUUGGGGAUAUGCGCCAACUACUUAGGGCCAGUUUUUCAUUGCUUAAAAAAUGUACUUCUGACUCUAAAAGCACUUUUGAAAUAAAAGUUGUGAAUAACAAGCUGCUUUUGGCUGAAAUUUUUAGGUUUUUAGAAGUUGGAAAUUUUAACUCUUCCUUUCCCAAAAGUAUUUUUGGUGCUUAAUUACUUUUUCACCCCUCCAAUAACAUGGUAUUUUUUAUUUUUUUUCUUGGUACUUAAUUACAAUUGUGUUCAAAUCAUUAAUUAAAAAUAAAAAAAAUAUUUUUAAAAUACUAAUUACAAAUAUUUAAUGGUUAUAUUUAAAUAUUUAAAAUAUAGUUUAUAUAUUAUAAUUAAAUUUUAUAAAUAAUUAAUAUUUAUUGCUUAAAGAUAUUUAAAAUUUAUAUUUCAUAUAUUAAAAUAUUAACAACAAAUUAUAAUAAUUUUUUUAUAUUCUUACUAAAAUAUAAUAAUAUUAACUAAUUUAAAUAUUAUUUAAAUGCAUAUUUGUUACUUGAUAAUAACAUGUCUAAUUUUAUUUCUCAAAAGUACUUUUUUACAGUAAUGUUAAACACUCAAAUUUUAAACCAAACUUUUUAAAAGCACUUAUCAAAAGCAUUUUUUCACAGCAUUUUUCAAAAGCACUUUUCAAAAGUAAUGAAGAACUGGCCCUUAAUCGCGAUGAUAACAUUAUUGAACCAUAUUAGUUUAAAAUUUUAACUUUUUACGGAUGAAUUUAUCUUGUCUAUAGGAUAAUAUUAAAAUUUAUAAAAAAUUACUACAUGAUAAUAUUGUAUUUUAACUUUCAAAAAAUAUAAAAACUUUUAUUUGUCAUUUAAAAAAUUAAAAUUAUAUAAACUAUUAAAAUGGUAAAUUUACAUUUCAACUCUCGUAAAAAUAUACUAUUUUUCACUUCUGAUUAUGUAUAUAAAAUUUUGAAUCGAUUCAUACCAGUUCAAAAUAUUGUAUGAAUUAAUUUUUAUUGAAUGGUUAAAAUUUUUUGUAUAAAAUAAAUAUUUAAACUUUUUUAAUUUAAUGCAAAAUUAACAUGCAAUAUCUAUAUUAAUGAAAUAUAUAGUAACACUAAGAUGAAAUAAUGUGGUGGAGUAUGGCCCAGCUGAACAUUGGGCCCUUCUUGCUUGAAAUUGGGCCAAUAGCAUUGAUUGAGUUAGCUAACUUCAAUUUUUAGAAGGAUCUAAGGAAUUAUUAAAUCCCAAAUAAUUUUGUACAUGCAUGAAAAAAUGGGUCACACUAACUAAUCUUUAUUGAAGACUUUAAAGGGUAAGUUUUCUAGGCUUUCUUAAAAAAAUCUUUAUGUUUUAUUUUUAUAAAUAUUUUUAUUGUAUUUUGAUCAGUAAAUUUGUUGUUCUAAUUUUAUUCGAUUAGAAUUUUCAAUUAAAAUUCAUUAUUUAUUGUAUAUUUAAUUUAAAAAAAAAUUAAAAACAUAAAAUAAAAAUAAAUGAUAUGUGUAUCACCUCAUUAAUUCUGUUUUUGGAAUUUCCAGGAAUCCCAGUGAUGAUUAGCAUUUGAUGGACUGGGUUGGUGCUUUGGUGGGUCUAAGGGGACCAUAAAACAAGAUUCAUUGGUGAUUUUAUCAUUUUAUGGGCAUUUUUACUUGGGGCCACUUUAUUUUCUUUGGGCAUUUGUAGGGUUUUUAUGAAGAUUUCUUCUUUCUUUUUAAUCAUAUUCAGUCUACGAUGAAACAUUAAUACUUAAUAUUGUUGAUGCUUGGUUCGGAAUUGGUGGUUGAGGGUGGUUCUGUUUGGUGCUGAGAGUUACAAUUGAUGUUAUGAUUUUAAGAGAAAGAAAAAAUAGUUAUGGAGAAGAGAAACUAAUAUAUGAUAUUUUCAACGGUCUUUAUACGAGGAAAAAAUAUAUCAUUAGUUUUUUAGGGAACGAUGACCCACUUCACAGGGGAGAUGAUCCUAUACGACAGGAUUGGACAUGAUUAGAUUGAGUUAAUUUGUUUGGUAGUAAAUUCCGACGUGAGUGAUAAGUGUGAUGGACACAUUUAAUACGAUUUGAUUGGUUAUUGAGUGUGAAUGUCAAAAGUAAUGGGUAUAACUGUCCCAUUUAAUACAAUUCAAAUAGUUGUUGGAUUGAGUCCUCUCUUUCAUACAAGCGCUUUUUGACGAUAUCAUCUUUGAGAAAGGUUACGUAUAGCAAAUAUUAUAUAAAUUUUGAUAUGGUUUAUAUGAUUUGUAUACAUAAACUUAAAAAGAAUUUUAAGAUAUUAGAUUAAAUUGGAUUUUAGGUCAUUCAAUACUUAAAUAAAUUUAGAUCAUAUUUUCAAAAUCAUUUUAUUUUUGAAAUUAAAUUGUAGUAAAAGACAAUGAUGAGUACAAAAACAGAAUCAUUUCCAAUGACUAGGGGGAAAUAAAAUAUGUAGGCAUUUUGUCUGAGUAGUGGGAUGCAUAGUGGCUUCAACAAAGAGAUUAAACCCUAAAAAGGCAGAAUUUGAUAUCUGAAAAUGGUUUCCCAACUUACAAAUUUCACUCCUUUCCAUGUCAGGAAAGUAAUGAAUUUGCUGAAGCAAAGCAUCAUGGGCCAUGUCCACCACCUAUGAACAGCCCAUUGUCAUUUUCUAUCUUUCAUCAUCCCACCCUAUGUGGGAAUUCUCUUUCCUUCAAAAUACGGUUCAAAUUUUAAUUUGAUCAUAUAAUUUUUAAAACGUUUUAGGUUCUAGUUUAGGAUCAUGUGAAAGAAUUUUAAAAUAUGUUUAUUAAAUUGUAAAUAUGUGUAUAUUUAUUGAAUUGAUUGUUUUGAUUCAACAUCUUAAAAAAUAAGAAUAUGUGAAUAAAUUACUUUGUUUUAAUUCUCGUUACUGAUUAUACCCUUAAACUAUUAAAUUGAAAAAAAAUGCAUACUUAAACACUCUCCAAUCUAUAUUUUAUUAGAUAUUACAAUAUUAAUCAAUUUAAUUUUAAAUGUGAUUUAAGACCCAAAUUAAUGAUAAGAUUAACAGAAAGACUUAAUUGAUAAAAUAUUAAUAUUUUAAAAACUUAAUUAGAAUAUUUGGAAAUUUAUAAACCCUAAUUAAAAUUUACAUUGCUAUUGUCUAAAAACAAAAAAAAAAAAAAACAAAUAAUGGUUUACUUUUGAUGAGCUUUUCAGAAUCCUCAAGUGGGGGUGAAACUACUAACAAUAGAUACAAGCCUAGCUGGCUUUUUCACUACAAGACGAUAACACAAUCUGGAAUUAUAUUAUCUUUAUGUCGGCGUGGGUGCCCCCAUUCCCAUUUUCAUCCUCUCUUUUUCCCUUUCUCCACCUUUGUCUUCUUUCUUCGGAUUUUCUUGGAAAAGUUGUAAUUAUGCUCAAGAAAAUAUAAAAGGUUAAUUUUUUUUAAAUAUUAAGUCCCAGUAUAGAAUUAUUAUUAAGUUUAAGGAUUUAUUUAGAAAAAAAUUCAAAACUUAAUAUGAUAAUAAUUAUUAAAUUUAAAGGUUAAUUUAAACAAAAAGCUUAGAUUGGUGUGAACCCUAAAGUCUCCCCCAUUCCAUCUACUCUCAUCCAUCAUCUACUUUUUUGUACACCUAAUAAUAUUUAGAGUGAGACAAAAUGCAUUUUUUUUUCUUAAUUUUCUUUUGCCGACGAGACCUCAUAGAAUUGACAAAGCGUGGAUGUGUGUUCUUUUCUAAUACGAAACAUAUAUGAAAUAGGUAGAUGUGAGAGGAGACUAGGGUAAGAAAAAGAUUGAAGUGUCGGUGGUUUAAGGUCUUCUGGUGCCUUCAAAGCAUGGCAGCUUGCCUUUGGUAAUGAGUAAGCAUCAAUAGUGCUUGAAAAUGGAUGAGAAAUAUGACACUGUAACUCCCAACUAUUCUUUAAGUAAACUUUUAUUUGUUUUUCUCUGUUUCGAGUCGCGUUCUUUUAACAAGUUCAUUGAUGUUGAAAAAUUCAAUAUAAUUAAUUAAUUAUAAUUAACUAAAAUAAUCUAUCCAUUAUUCGAAUACGAGACUUCAAAAUUUUCAGUAACCCUAUCGCAUCAUUAACCCAUAAAUUUGAUACUUCGAAGUAACCCUAUCAUCUAUUUUUGGUGAUGAGCCAAUGGCAAUGCUUUCAUUGAUAUAUAUAUGAAUGUAGCUUGUAUUAUAUCAGUUUUGAUUAACAAAAUUUAGUUUAAAAAAAACCAUUAAUGAUUUAUCAAAAUUCCAAUUGUUAGACUUGUAUGGCAUGAUAUUAUUGUUGUUUUGUGUAUACAUACCUUUCUUUUACGUAAUAUAAAUUAUUAAAUAAGUCAAAAUUCUUAUGAAUAAUUUAUUUAGAAUAAUGAUUAGAGUGUUUGAUCGACUUUUAAAUGACAAGAGUUUAAAUUUUGUCAUCUCAUCAUUUUCAUUGAUAAGAAAAUUUAUGAUGUGUAUUAAAUGUUCAUAUUGCCAUAUUUUAUUGUUCUCGUCAUGGGUGUUAGAACCAUGCUAGCUGAUUGAAUCGGUAUUAUAAAACUAGAGGAAUGAACCUAUGCAAAGUUGAUUGAAUCGGUUAAGAAUCGUUUGAGCUUAAUUUAAGCUAGUUUAAAUAUUUAAUUUGUUUGUUAUAAUUUAUAAAAUAAUUGUUCAUAUUUUUAAAAAAAAAUAUAUUUUGGUACCUAAAAAAGUAACCGUGCUAAUUUUUUUAAUGUUUAAUUUGAGCUUUAGCAUUUAUUUGAUAAACGUUAAUUGCUAAUAUUAUUAGUUUUGAUUUUUUCAUGAUUUUGUUAAUAGAAUAAAUUUAAUAUUAAUUGUGAUCUUUUUUUCAUUUUGUGUUUAAUUUGACAAAUAUAAUCUGAUAGAAGUGAUUUAGUUUAGGUUUUAGAGUUGAUCUGAUUAAAGUUAAUUGCUAAUAUUGUAAGCUAAUAUGAAUUUUCAUCAAAUCAACUCUAAAUCCGAAUUAAACACUAAAAAAUUGACACCAUUACCCUUGAAUACCAAAAUGUAUAAUUUUUGUCAACUACAGAUAUCAUAUUAGAUGAAAAAUAACAUAAAUACCACAUUAAAGAAAAAAAAGAGAAUAUCAUGCUGAAAUAUCAAAUUAUAUAUUAAACUCUUCAUUUUAUAACGAUUAAACUAAAAACUUAAUUUAUUAAAUCUAUUAAAUCAAAAAUCGAUAAAUUAACCAAUUCGGUUUUAUCCUUUUAUCAUAUUGAUUUUCGUAUGGUGCCCAAAGUGAGAUGCAUAAUCGUCACUUGAUUCACAUGUAGUUUCAUAGUCAAAGGUCCAGCUUUUAGUCACCAGUCAUGUGGGGGAUAUAUUAUUAAUUCUACGGUAUUGAUUUUUAGACUUUGGACAGUUCCAAAAAUUUAAUUGCAUACCUAAAAGAAAUUAAAAAAGAACAUAUUGGUUAUUACUUAUUACCUACUUUCCUAAAUUUGGUUUUCAAUUAUACACAAAACCCAAUUUAUUGUACCAAAAAAAUUCAAAAAUUUAACCCAAAAAUCAUGAUUAAGGCCCUUAAAUUCACUUUCCCUUAUGUAAUCAUGUUUAAUUGGCCAUUGGUGGUGAGCAUCUUCCCUCAUCUAAUACUUCAUUUUUAUUUCCUUUUAUGAAAAAUUGAUUAUGAUAUAUCACCUUUACUUUUUGUACAUUACACUUUCAAUAGUUGUUACUUUGCCUUCCUACCUUUAAAUUAAAUAAAAAAAAUAGUAAAUGAAGCAUGUGAAUAAUACAAAGUUUGUCAACCAUAGUAUUUUAAUAUUUUCAACUAAUAGGCCAAAGUUUGGCCAAAAUUAAUGGACGAACUACCACUUUGUUAGGAGUAGUUUUAUCUCUAGCUUAAAUGUGUCCAUAAAUUACUUAAUUAUUACCAUAAGAAUUGCGCCAAUGAAGUUAAGGUAGUGUUGAUAAAUGUAUUAUAGUGUAUGUAUUUUAUCUAAACUUAUUUUAAUUUAGAUUUAAAUAUAUUUCGAUUAUACAUUGUUAUGAUUAUUUUAGUUGUUGUUAUUUGGACGUGUAUUAAUUAUUAUAGCAUUUUUAAAUAUACAUAUAUAAUUGUAAUUUUGUGUAGAAGUGUUAAUGAAUUGGUUGGCCAAGGUGUUUUAAGCGACCUUGGUUCAUAUUUUUCAACCCUAAGUUGAUUUAUUUUAUUGUUUAAACAUAAUAAAAAGUAUAAAAAAUGGUAUUACUGUUUAUGUAUUUUUUAUAAUUAAACUUAAAUAAUAAAAUAGGUCAUUUUGGUAGACUUGGAUUAACCGAGCUCGAGUCUGUAAAUUUUUUAAGAAUUAACCUUGAUCUAUUAGUAUCUCUAAUUUUGUGAGCGGAUAAUGUGAAUAAAAAAAUCGACAAUCUUCUUAAUUAAUAAUUAAAAAAUCCAAAAUCCUCUUGAUCUAAUAAUUAAGAAGAGUUUACUCUAAUUUGACGGGGGAAGGAUAAAAUUUACCCUUAUUUUAUAAGAAAUGUUUUAAACUUUUAUUUUGUAAAUUUAGUUAUAAAAACAAUGAAACAGAUUUUAUUUAUUUAUUUUAAACAAAAAGUUGAAUAUCUAAAAAGGAGAAUGGAUUUCUUAUAAAAUGACAGAAGUUUCAACAUUUCUAUAGGCCCACCAUUGAAAAGUAGCAAGCUACCUUAAUACAGGAAACCAACAUAAUCCAAUGCCUCGUUUCUUUUAAGAAAAUGACAAUUAUUUCAUUAUAUAUUGUUAAUUAUAAUAUAACUACUCAUAUUAUUUUCUUUCCGUACCAUUCUGUAUUUGAUUUACUUGCAAUCCAUAUUAUUGAAAUGAAAAUUUAGUGAUGACCAUUUAAUUGAAUUAAUCAGUAUAAUUAGAUUUAACUAAAUUGAUUUAAAUAUAUUAAUUCCAUCAAUGGUAAGUUUGUGUAAGUAACCAUUGAAUCCACUAAAUUAACUAAUUUAAUAUAAAUACAUUAUAUAAACAAAACACCGGAAAUUAAAAUAUAUAACUUCUUUUAAAAGAAAAUUCAUUAAUUCAUUUCAUAAAUGGGAUCGGAUAAGUUGGAGCUAAAGAACAACAAACACUUGUUGUAAGCAAUGAAUGAUAAGUUCCACCAACACAACAAAUAUUUGAGUCGCAGCAUCAAUAGAAUAUUAUGACAUAUUGACGGUUGACUUUGUCAUAACUUAAGCAUGACGUAUCUGGAGUGGUAGCAAGCACUUAAUUUAUAAGAAAAUCAACCCAAUGGUCCAAAUUGGUGGGCAAAAACUGGCCAAAGAAUCAAGCAUCCAUGAAACUAGAGAGGACGGCGACAAAACCAUCACUAAAAUCACUUGCAAAAGCAAUAUUACAUGCAUAAGCAAAACUAAAAAAUGUGCUAUAAGAGCAGACAAAAUUUCAAAUACUAAAGACUUAUUAGACGAUGAAAAACAAACAAAAAUAUAUAUAAAACUUAAGACAACAUGGGUCCAAACUGACUUGUGAACUGGGGCAUAGCAAGGGGGCUGGCAGGGGUUUCGACCCUCCUAAAAUGGAAAAAUUUUUAUUUAGGCCCUUUAAAAUUUCAAAAUUUUAAAUUAUUAGAGGUAAAAUUAUACUUUGGCCCGCUAAAAAUGAUAAAAUUUGUUUUAAUCCUUUAAAAAUUAUAAAGAUAUAGGCUAGUAAAAUAGUGAAAUUGCAUUUUACUAUAUUAAAAAUUACAAUUUAAUUUGGCCCCUAUAAAACAUUUCUGGCUUUACCACUGCUCAUGAUAUCAAUUAUUAUUUUGAAAUACUCUCAAACUAGAAAUAGAUUAAGGAAUUGACGAAAAGCUACCAACAGUUUAGCCACUCACUUUUCAAGAGAAACUGUUGGUGGCCGGUGGAGUUUCAAUGACAACAGACACCGACUCCAUCAGCCACCAUCAUCUAUCCUUCACAACUUGUGAAGACAACAAAAAAACUUGCAAAAUAGAUCUGCAAACUGAAAAGAGAGAGUUACAUGGAGUGAAUGAAGAGAAGAAAUGAUGAGAGAGUUAGUGGGAAGGAGAAAAAGACGGGCGAUACAUAAUCCGGAAGUUAACACCGCCGCUGAACAAAACAAAAGAGAAGAAACAAACAACUUAAAAAAAAAAGAUAAAAAAAUUCAAAUAUAUAAUAAUUUUAUAUAAAAUGAACUAUAAAAGAAAAUAUAUUAAACCAUGAAUUUUCAAGUAAUCCAUUAUUUAAACCAAUUCAAUAUUAUUAUCAUGGAAAAUCAAUUAGUUGAAGGUUUCAAAAAUGAAAUAAUAGUUUACAUGAAUUAUAUAUAUAAAAAAAAUUGCAUGCAAGCUUUAUUUUAUUUUUGUUGAUGGGCCAAUAAGAACUUUAUUUAAUUUAUCAAAUGCUAACAUAUUAAUGGUUGAAGAAUUUGGAUAGUUCUAAAAUGAUGAAAAGGUGGUAAGUAAUAAAUUUGUUAUUUAAUUUAUCAAUAAUAUUGAGUAAUUUUUAUAAUCUUUGGUUGUCUUGAUUUAACCAAUAUAAUUUAAGUGUUUUCUAUUGAAAAGUCAACUUGCUUAGCUAAUAAAGUUGUAAUAGCAAUAAUGAAUCCUUGAACCCAAUUACAUUUAUAAAAAAAACAUAUCCUUGGAUUCGAAUUUUAGAAAUUUGAUAUUUUUUUUGUCUGCAAGAUAUGACCUAAAUGUAAUGAACCUUUUGUUUUUUAAAUUAUAUUGCUUAUUUUGUGGUGUGUGUUUUUAAUAAAUAUAAAAUUCAAAUAUUUUAAAUAUUGUAUUUAAAUGUUAUUUAACUGUAUAAAAUUUUAAAUAUCUGUAUAUUCAUUUAUUUCAAAUUAAUUAUUUAUAAUACAAUUACGAAAGAAUAUCAGGAAAAUUUAUAAAAAAAAAAAAACAUGGCCUAAACUAAACUAAACAAUCUAAUUUAGAUGUAGAAAUACGUAUCCACCACUCAAGUGCUUAAUUGUUAUAAUUAAUUAACUUAAAAAAGCAUAUGACUUCCUUAAGCAAGUUAGGUUUAUUAUUGAGGGUGUGAUUUGUGUGAAAGCUUACCAACUGUUUCAAAAAAUAGUUGUGCGAUUGGAUAUGCAUUUAAGCUUAAUCACAAUUAUUUGUUUUUUGAAUAAAAAAAAAAGCAGAACGAAAUAAUUAUUAUGAAAAAAGAAAAAAAUAUUUAUACUUUAUUAAUGAUUAAGGAAAAAUAUGAAUAGUUAAAAUAAAAAACUGCGAAUAUUAUGAUUUAUUUUGAUUAUACCUUACUAAAUGUGAAUAAUAUCUAUUAUUUAUACACAUGUACGAAUAAUUUAAUUUAAGGUAGUGUGUAGCCUUCUUUUAUUUAUAAAAUAUAUAUAGUUUUUGGUUAUUAAUAGUUAUGCUUUGUACCUGGUUAUAACUUUUUUUUAACAUUAAUCUCAUUAUAGGUUCUUAUCAUAUCUGCUCAUUUUGAUACAAUAUUUAGAACUACCAUAGCCCCUCCUUAACUCUUAUAAUGCGCUUCAGUGCACUCGAACCCACGUCAUCUUGCAUUAGCAAUAAUGCCGAUACCAAUCGAGUUAAGACUCAAUCGGCUUAUUAUGAGAGGUUCAGAUUUAUUUUAAUUUAAAUUAGAAUAUCUAUUAAUUUUCUUUUCUUCAACAUUUUUUCUUAAUAUAAUUAUUUUAAAAUUUAAUAUUAGGUAACUUUAGAACCAAAUCUUAACAUUUAUUAUUUUUAUUCACAAGCCACAAAUUUUAAAAAAAAACUAUAUAUAUUCAACUUAUAUUAUUUGAAAAUAAUAUUUUGUUAGAAUAAAUAUUAUAGAAUUUGUAGAAUUCAGAGUUCUUCAGCAAAGCACAAGACACAACAAAAGCAUCAUUAAUGGGGAAAUCCAAAACCCAAGAAAACAUUAAUGAUUGUGAUCUUAAGCAAAGUUAUAGUCAUGGUUAAUAUUUACUCAAGGUGUUUAUACUCUUAGUAUAUUCACAAUUUAGCUCUCUACUUUUAUUUUUAUAAUUAAUCCAUUUAUUUUAUAGAUUUUAAAAUUAAACUUUAAUUGUCAAUAAUUUUUUUAUUAAAGUAGUUGGUAUUAUAGUUUGAAAUAAAAAAUACUUGUUGGAUAAUUAUGUAAUAAAAAACAACGUUAUUAUGAACAAUUUAAUAAAAGAAAACGAUAUUAAUAAUUAUAUUUGCAUUUUUUAAAUAUGAAAAAAAAUAUUAAGGCUUCAUUUGCUUUCUGAAAAUAAUUUCUAUUUUUUAUUUUAAGGAAAUGAUUUUUAUUUUCUAUUUACUGAAAAUGACAAAACAUAAACAGAAAUAAAAAAAAAUUAUUUUUGAUAACGACAAUAUCAGAAAAUGUUUGGUACAUAUUUUUAAUUAAAACAAUGAAAAUAAAAUUUUAUUAUUUUUAAUUUUCACGUAUUUUUAUUUUUAAAUGAUCAUUUUUAAAAAUUGUAAAAAAAAUGUUUUCUUUUGAUAUUUUAAUUUUCCGAAAAAACAAAAAUGAAAGUGGCCGUUGUUUCUUAAAAUUAAACCGAGCCUAAAUUUUAUAAAUAUACAGCAAUUAGGGGCAUAUUUUAACCCAUCUAAUUUUUAUUUCCAAUUAGGAGGGGCAUCCAAUUUGACCAAAUACCAUAAACUCUCCCAAUUAUUAAACGACGCAUUUCAAAACUUUAAUUUGAACAAUCCAAAGUCUUAUUCAGUCUCCCAAUUUACAGUGUGGCAAAAAAACUCCAAUCUUUAUUCAUAAAUAACUUUCUUUGUUUACUUUGCUCUUUUCUUUUUACUUUCUCUCUCUCUCAUUGUGUCUCUUUGUCAAAUCUAAGAAUAUAAUGCUAAGAAACUCAUUUGGAGAGAGAAAGAACCAAAAAAAAAAAAUCACAGAAGAGUUUGUAAGAGAUAACAGAGCAAUGGGGUAACUUUGAACAAGAUGCGGCUGAAGAUUUACUAUCACAGCUGCUGAUCAUCAAAAUCCCAUUUCCCGGUUUUUUUUUUUGUGUUUUUGGUAUGUUUUUUUAUCCAAACUUUUGUUAAAAACUUCUUCUUUUGCUGUUCUCUUAAUUACCCAUUUGCUUAAAGUUCAUGUUUUUGUUUUUUCUUUCUUGCAGUUUGUUUAAAUUUUAUGUUUUUUUGUUGAAAAAGAUAGCUAUUUUUCCAGAUUUUGUUCCUUUUUGCAAGUAUUUGAUGUUGGUUUUUGGGAAGAAUACUUAAAUUAUUUCCCAGUUUUGUUCGUAUGGUUCAUUUCUUCUUCCUUUUUUGAGACCACUCUUAAAUAAAAGUUCAUGAUCCUUUCCCAAAUAGAACCAAAAAAAAAAAAAAACAAAACAGGGUCAUGUGCUUCUUUGAAUUGUAGAUUUGUGUGAUGAAAUUCCUUCUGUAAUUGGACCACUGGGUCCAAACAACUUUUAUGGCUUUCUUUUUUUUAUUGAAUCACUUUCACUGCAAAGUACAAAUGCUGUGUGCUAUAUGCUUACUUUUGGGAAUCUUUGUUUUGAAUUCAUGGUAUUUCUAUUUGUUUAAUUGGUUCUUUACAAAAUUGAAGAUCUGAUAUAAUCCUUUUUUUCCCUUUUCAGUGGAGUGCUUGUUAGCUUUGAAACAUGGAAGAGAAUCUCAUCGUUGCACAUCAUUGAUCUUUGACUGAAUAGGUAACUUAGGUUACAUAGAUUAUCGGGGAUUUCGAUCAUUCGAUUAUGUGAAUUUUGUUGCUCUAAAUGCAUUCCAAGUAGUUUGACUUGAAUAUCUCUGGUUGUGUAUAGGUGCAAGUGAUUCAGAAUAAAGAUCUAUUAGAGUAGUGGAACAGAAUUAGAUUUUUAUUCUGGCCUGGACCCAUUACUUGAGUUUUUGUAAAGACCAGGCUUUUGCAAAGCCGAAACUCGUUGCGUUAUUGCUUGUUGGUGGAAUUAUGGCAACUUCAUUACAUUCCGAGUCUAGACGCUUGUAUUCUUGGUGGUGGGAUAGUCAUAUCCCCAAGAAUUCUAAAUGGCUUCAAGAAAAUCUUACAGGUAUGAGUUUUCUUUCUAAAUACUUUGCCGCGAUGGUCUAUGAUGAUAUAUGUGUAUAUAUAUGUAUAUAGUUGAUAAUCCAUUUAUAUCACUAUAUGCUACACUCAGUUGCAAUGAUUUUCUGUUUCAACAGAUAUGGAUUCUAAAGUUAAAGCGAUGAUCAAACUGAUCGAAGAAGAUGCGGAUUCUUUUGCAAGACGAGCGGAAAUGUAUUAUAAAAAACGGCCGGAGCUCAUGAAAUUAGUUGAGGAGUUCUAUAGAGCUUACCGCGCUUUAGCAGAGAGGUAUGAUCAUGCAACCGUUGAGCUUCGCCAUGCCCAUAAAACCAUGUCGGAAGCCUUUCCCAACCAGGUUCCUUUCGUAUUGGCUGAUGAAUCAUCCUUGGGCUCUUCAGGCCCUGAGGUUGAGCCUGACACACCAGAAACCCCGCAUCCUUUUCGUGCAUUCUUUGAUUUGGAUGACUUGCAAAAGGGCUCUGGGAUAAACAAAAGGGGUUUAAAGCAGUUGAAUCAGAUGUUUGAAUCGGGAAUAGUGUCUCCAAAUGCCAACAUUACUGUGAAGAAGGGGAAUGGUGGUGAAGCCGAGGAAAAUGAGCAGAGUGGGUUAUCUCAGUUAUCGAUUGAGAAUGAAAAUUUGAAGAAUCAAGUUCUUUCCGAAUCUGAGCGUGCAGGUAAAGCUGAAACUGAAGCAGAGUUCUUGAAGAAAACUCUUGCCGAGAUUCAAGCCGAAAAGGAAGAUGUCCUUCUUCAUUACCAACAGAGUUUAAAGAAGUCAUCUAGCCUUGAAAGAGAACUUAACGAAGCACAAAUGUAUGCCGGGAAUCUUGACGAACGAGCCAGCAAAGCUGAAAUCGAGAUCAAAGUUCUGAAAGAAGCAUUAAGUAAACUUGAAGCCGAACGAGACGCUGGUCUUCAUCAAUACAAUCAGUGCUUGGAAAGAAUAUCCAGCUUGGAGAAUACCAUUUCCCAAUCCCAAGAGGAAGCAAAAGGGCUUAACGAGAGGGCUUUCAAAGCAGAUAUUGAAGUUCGGAAUCUUAAGAUAGAGCUUUCUAGGUUAGAAGCUGAAAAGGAAGCUGGUCUUGUUCGAUACAACCAGUGUCUUGAUAUGAUAUCAUCAUUAGAAAAUAAAAUCUCACUUGCUGAAGAAAACGCGAAAAUGCUCAACAUGCAAAUCGAAAGAGCUGAAAGUGAAGUUAAAGCGCUAAAAGAUGCUAUUGCUAAGCUGAAAGAAGAGAAAGAUACUAUGGCUCGGCUGUAUGAGCAGUGCUUGGUAACGAUUGCCGAGUUGGAGAGUGAAAUUUCUCGUGCCCAGGAGGAUGCAAAACGAUUAAACAAUGAGAUUGUAGUCAGUGGUGAAAAAUUGAGAAGCGUGGAAGAACAGCGUGCUCUGCUGGAGAAAUCGAAUCAAUCUCUACUAGUAGAGGCCGAUAAUCUGGUGCAGAAAAUAGCGAUUAAGGAUCGUGAACUUUCGGAGAAGCAAAACGAUUUGGAGAAACUUCAGACAUCAUUGCAAGACGAGCAUUUACGAUUUGUGCAAGUCGAGGCUACACUGCAAACUUUACAAAUGUUGAAUUCGCAAUCUCAAGAGGAGCAGCGAGUUUUGACAUCGGAGCUCUUGAAUAAGCUUCAAAAGUUAAACGAGUUGGAAGCAAGCAACCAAAAAUUGGAGGUAGAAAUUGAUCAAGUGCAGGGUGAAAACCGGAGCCUCAAUGAAUUAAACAGUUCUGCCACUGUUUCGAUGAAGAAUUUAGAAGAUGAAAUUCUCGGCUUGAAGGAACUGAAAGAAAAACUUGAAAGUGAGGUUGCAGUACAAAUGGAACGAAGUAAUAUCCUCCAGCAAGAAGUUGACAAAUUGAAGGAUGAAAUUGAGGUCUUGAGUAGUGCAUACCAGGCAUUAAUUCAACAGCUGCUGUCUGCAGGUUUAAAUCCUGAAUGUCUUGAACUGUCAGUGAAGGAAUUACGAGAGGAGAACUCGAAACUGAAGGAAGAAUUCAGCAAGCAAAGAGGGGAGGCCGAAGUUCUUUACAAGAAACUGAGAAGCAUGGAUGAUCUUUUGGAGAAGAAUGCUGUUUUGAGAAGUUCAGUGUCGGAAUUGAAUGGCAAAUUGGAAGGGUCGAGGGAGCUUGUUGGGGAAUUACGGAAGUCCAGUGAGUUUCUUUGGGGAGAAAAAUCUUCACUUGCCGCUGAGAAAUCGGUUCUUCUUUCUCAGUUACAGAAGAUGACUGAGAAUAUGCAGACGCUCUUUGAGAAAAACAGAUCGUUGGAAAGUUCCCUUUCUGGUGCUAAUAUCGAGCUUGAAGGCUUGAGAUCAAAGUCAAAGACCUUAGAAGAAUUCUGCCAGUAUCUCAAAAACGAGAAAUCCGUUCUUGCAGGUGAAAGAGACAGCCUGAUCUUGAAGCUCGAGGAUGUUGAAAAGAGGCUAUGCAUCCUUGAACUCCGAUUCGAUAAACUGGAGGAAAAAUAUUCUGACCUGGAGAAGGAGAAAGAUUUGACACUCUGUCAGGUAGAGGAACUACGGGAUUCCCUCGGUGCGGAACAACAAGAGCGUGCCUGUUAUGUGCAGUCAAGUGAAUCACGGUUAGUGGAUCUCGAAAACCAUGUCCAUUUACUACAAGAAGAAAGUAGGUUCCGGAGAAAAGAGUUCGAAGAAGAAAUUGAUAAAGCUGUCAAGACUCAGGUCGAGAUCUUCAUCUUCCAAAAGAUCAUAAAAGAUCUCGAGGAAAAAAACUUGUCUUUGUUGAUUGAAUGUCAGAAACAUGUCGAGGCGUCCAAAUUGUCGGAUAAACUAAUUAGGGAGUUGGAGAGUGAAAAUCUUGAGCAGCAGAUAGAAGGUGAAUUCCUAUUGGAUGAAAUCGAGAAACUAAGAUCUGGGAUUUAUUUAAUUUUCCGAGCUCUUGAGUUUGAUCCUGUUAACAAACAUCGGGAUGUAGUUGAAUCAGAUCAAGUUCCUCUUUCAUGCAUUCUGGAUAAUGUUGAAGACAUAAAGAGUUCACUAUCGAGAAACCAGGAAGAGAAGCAACGACUGGUAGUUGAGAACUCAGUGCUGUUAACUUUAAUCGGACAACUUAAAUUCGAGGGCGGCGAACUUGAGUCUGAGAACCGAGCCCUUGAGUAUAAGUUCGAGAUUGUGGAAAAGCAGAAUGCGAUGCUGCAGAAAGACAAGCGGGAGCUUCAAGAGAUGAACCAGCAGUUGAUGUUGGAAGUGCGUGACGGAAAGAUUGAGAAAGAAAUAUUAAACGCGGAAUUGGAGAGUGAACGUGGAAAGUUGAAGAGCAUGCACGGAGCUUGCUUGUUAUUAGAGGAGGAAAAUUCCAAGCAGCUCGAAGAAAACAGACUUUUGCUCGAGAAAUUCUCGGACCUCAAAGAGGAUAUGUGUGUUCUUGAAGAUGAGAACAGUGUUGCCCUACAAGAAGUGGUAGCCCUUAGUAGUCUCUCUCUCAUUUUAGAGACCUUUGGUGCCGAAAAAGCCGUUGAAAUCAAGAAAUUGGAGAAGACGUUGAACAAGAAAGAAGCUGAAAUCUCAGAAUUGAGUGAAACUGUUGAGAAGUUACGCAAUGGACUAAAUGGUGUCAAAGAUUUGAACGACCAAUUAAAUUAUCAAGUCGUUAUCAGAAGUGAUUUGCUAAAACAGAAGACCAUCGAGCUUUCAGAAGCAGAUGAAAAGCUUCAGGCCACACAUAACUUGAAUGCGGAACUGUACCAGACUCUCGAGGAACUGAAGAGGGAAUAUGAGGAAUCUAAACAGAUUAGAGAAAACUUAGAGAGGCAGAUUGUUGAACUAUCGGAAGAUAACAAAGAACAGAAAAUGGAAAUCGAACACCUUCGUGAAGCAAAUGACAAUUUGGGUUCCAAAGUUGUUACAUUACACAAGGAAAUCGAAGAAAAAAAGAUUUAUGGACAAAACCUGAGUCUAGAGCUACAAGAAAAAAGCAAUGAGUUCGAGCUGUGGGAAGCUGAGGCUGCAUCAUUUUACUUUGAUUUCCAAGCUUCUGCCGUUUGUGAAGUUCUACUCGAAAAUAAGGUACACGAGCUUACUGAAGUUUGUGAGACACUCGAAGAAGAAAGUGCUGUAAAGAGUGCACAAAUAGGACAGAUGAAGGAAAGGGUUGAGUUCUUGGAAAGUGAAAUUGGAGGGUUGAAGGUCUCGAUGUCUGCCUAUGUUCCGGUCAUAGCUUCACUGAAAGAUAGUAUAAUAUCCCUCGAGCAAAUUGCCCUUCUUCAGCCAAAGCUUUGUGUUCCAAAUGGUGACGAAGAUAAGGUAAAAUUAAUUUCUACAUUUAGGGAAUAUUUGCGGUUGAAACUGUUUAGAUAUGCUUGCAUUAUACUACAUUUAAAGUUCUAUUUAUUUGUUUUCACCAGGAUGUAGAAAUGGUUGAUGAACUUUAUGUGGUGAGCUCGGAGAAACUCGAAGAAGGACAAAGUGCGUUUUUGACAUCUGGGAUUUCAGACUUGCAGGAGAUGUGCACUAAGGUUAAAGCAGUCGAAAAAGCUCUGGUGCAAGAGAUGAAUAGGCUUGUGAAGCGGAAAAGUAACAAGAACAGCCACGAGAUUGAUGCUUCAUCUAAAGCCAUUAACCCCUCUAAUUCAGAAAUGAAGAAAGGUAUGCAAGUUGGUGAAGAGGUUGCUCGAAAACUCAAGUCGAAGAAGAUGAAACCUGAAAUUUCUGAAUUGAGAAAUGGGAUAUUGUUGAAAGAUAUUCCCCUGGAUCAUGUCUCUGAUUCUUCAUUAUACAGAGGGAGCAAGAGUAAGAGAGAGACCAGCACAGCUGAUGAUCAAAUGCUUGAACUAUGGGAGUCUGCUGAGCAUGAAUGUGGUGUUGAUUCAAAAAUCAAUGACAUGCAAGAACGGGUGUUUGUACCGGGGGAGAUCAUUGCCUGUCAUCAGUCCAGUGAUCUAGAACCUGAAAACGAGAGUUCUUUGGGAGCAUUGGUGGAGAAAGAGUUGAGCAUUGAUAAGUUAGAGAUAUCUACCAGCAUUAGAGAACCAAAGAAACGAGCUAAAAACCGAAAGGUCUUAGACAGACUUGCUUCUGAUGCUCAUAAAUUGAUGGCUCUUCAAACCUCUGUCAAACAACUGAAAAAGAGAAUGGAAAUCAAGAAGAGGAAGAAGGCGUUCGAUUUAGAAUACGGACAAGUCAAAGAACAAUUGCAAGAGGUGGAGGAUGCAAUCAAGGAGUUGUGCAACGUCAAUGGUGAAUUGACCAAGGAUGUCGAAGGGAGUUCUUCAUCUUUAGACGGGACAAACUCAAAGGAAUUGGAAGGACCUGGAAAGAGCAACUUGAAAAAGGUACGUGAGCAGGCAACAAAAGGGUCUGAAAAGAUCGGAAGGUUGCAGUUCGAGGUGCAGAGCAUCGAGUACGUUAUGCUGAAACUAGAAGAUGAAAGGAAGAACAAAGGGAAAACCCGAACCGGUGUCCUCUUAAGGGACUUUAUCUACAACGGUGGAAGACGGAGUGGAAGACGAAAGAAGGGUUGUUUUUGUGGGUGUGCAAGACCUUCUUCCAGUAUAGACUGAGGCUAAGCAUAUACAGACAGACAGAAAAAAUAAAGCCCUGUUGUUGCUUGAUAAGAUUCAAAGCUUGCCUAAUUUUCAAGGAAUUUAUAUGCUUAGAACCUGUUUUUAGAGCAAAUUAUCACUUCUAGAAUUAGGUCUUGAUGUGAUCAGUUCAUAAGCUGUAUACAGCACUCUAUCUAGUAAUUUUGAGCAAACAAUGUCAAACUAGUAGAACUUGUUAUAUAUCCGUUCCAUUUUAACCUGUUUUUAUUUAUAACUACAAUUCAGGGUAUUUUCAAGUUUGAGUUGGGUUUUUUUCAACACAGCAAGACUACAAGCUAAUUUUUUUUAUUUGAAAAGCAAAUGAAGUAUAAACAUCUUAAAUGUAACCCUAUAUGAUAUUCAUGUAUUUGUCAUUCAUAUUAUGAAUAUUUUAAGGUAAAGAUCAUAUUUAUUUUUUACCAAAGGGUAACAUAUUGUUUACUCAAAUAUUAAGUUGCAAAAUCAUAUCCUUUUAACAUCAAAACCAUGGAGAAAUUCUCUACUACAGUUUUUCGACAAAACUAAAAUGAUCAGCAAAAACUCCUAGAAGCAUAAAAAAACAAGACAAAUUCAUGGACUAUUGUUCUUCGUUCAAGCUCCAACAACCUCUGCAGGAGCCUCAGCCAUUGUCUCAUCAGCAGGCCUCUCUAGUUUCACACCAACAUCCUCUGAGUAGUCACCAUGAACCUAAAUGAAUAAAGAAAACAAGAAAAUAAAGAAAUUAACAAGGCAAGCUCCAUGGGAUAAUAAUUUUAUUGAAAGGUAAGAGAAUAGAUGCCAGAAACUUACCUCCAUCAACUUCCCGAGAUCAAACUUGGGAGCCUUCAAGAUUUUGACCUUACGAACAAACACAUUCUGCAAAGGAUAGAUGCUAGAUGUUGCCUUCUCAAUUUCUUUUCCAAUCACCUCGGGGAUGAACUUUUGAACCAGUUCCUUCAAAUCACAAGAUGUUGCCUGGGAAGUCAUUAUUUCCCUCAUCUUUCGGCGUAUCUGAAAAACAAUAAUUUCACUUGGUCAUCAUGGGAUUGACAAAUUCACAGAAAGCACACAAACACUGCAAACAGUCCAAGCACCGGGGUAGUUUACCUGUCUAAUCUGGCUGGACUGAGCAUAACAAGUCCUUUUAACCUGGUUCGGGCGUCUCUUAGUGAAUCCAAUGCAGAACAAUCUCAAAGUGUAAUUGUCAGUUGUCUUCACAUCAACAUGAGCUUCAAUCAGGGUUUGCCAUUUACGCACCAAAGACCUCAGCCUGUCAGUUGUAAAAUUCAUUCCCUGGAAAUUUGAAAAAGGAAAACGAAUCAAAAUUUUUAAACUUCUAUUGCUAAAAAAGCUGGGAUAAUAUAGUAAAUAAAGGAAGUUUAUAUUAAUCAUACCCAAAAGUUGGUCAAAACAUUUUUUCCUUGAACAUCUUCAGCUCUCAAACGAAUCUUUCUGUAAGCAUGAUCCUCAUCACCACCUUGAAGAUCAGCAAGGAAAACCUCAAACACACGGUGUUUGAGUCCUUCAGAAGCAAUCUGUCAAUGAAAUAACCAAGUUCAAACCACAUACAUAUAACUCAAACAGUAACUAUACGUUAAAUAUACAGAGCAGAUCUAAGUUCAUUGUGCUGUUUCUAUGCGGAAACUUAUAUAUCAAGAACACACAUCCACAGCAUAUCAUAAGUAGAAGAAAGUCAUAAAGGUGAUUAAUCGUCUAAAUAACUGAAGCCGACCGAGACAAGUAAACAAAUAAUAAGUUACAAGUUUCUCAAAUAAGUCCACUUCAAUUGUUGCAUCCUUCUCAAAGAAGUAACCAUGAAGUGCAGAGUCAAAAUAAAUUUAUAGUUUGAUAACAGAUACAAAAUUUCCUCACUCAAUUGAGAACCUUAUGCGUUCAGUAGCCAAUUUUCUUAAUACAAGAUAUUGGUAUUUCAAAAGAAAUGGUAAAUCAGCACUUCAAAUAACAAAAAUAACAUCAUGGUCAUAAAAAAACAACCAGCAAUACAAGCAAGGCUCAGCUCAAAACUGCAGUUCCCAUUUUACAGAGCAAACCAGAAAAUACCAUGAAAAGACAACAGCAUUAAACUUCCAUAUUAACUUCCAAUAAACGCUAAGAAAAGUUCCAAGCAUUGGCAAUGGAAUGUACAAAGAAUAUAAACAAAACCCAAUUUCCUCGAAGGUUGAAAGAAUACAAUACAAUGCAAACAUUUUCGAAAAAUAAAUAAUUUUCUAAAAGAAAACAAACCUUGGUACCCUGAGUACGGGAGACGAGAGUUUUCCCCACAUUUCUGGUAGUGAAAACUGAAGGAGCCUUGAUAUCGUACCAAUCCUUCUUAGCAAAAGGAUCCGCUCUAAACAAAAAAAAAAUCAAACAUUUAACGAACAGAUCUGUUAGUAAAAUACCCAAAGCGCGAUUAAAGCUAAAAACUAGAUCGAUAAAAAACAGUACUCACGCCUUCUUCUUUCCUCCCUUCUUUCCCUUGGAAAUCCUCUUGUUCUUCCUACAUUACAAAAAGAAAGACCCAGAAACAGAUCAGGUUUAAUAAAAAGAAAGAAAGCCAAUUUGAAGAACGAGAAAGAUGAAGGAAAAGGAAAUGAGUACCCGACGGCCAUGCUUCACAAACUUUGCUUUGCUACAAAGAACGGAGCAGUCGGCACCUACUUAGUUUAUUAAGUGUAGGAGUGGGGAGGAAAUCAAAAACCCUAAUUUUAGUUGCUUAUAUAUGGAUGCUUGGCUCUCUCAAGCUGUACUUAUUUCCGACUGUUUGAGAAUCCCGGUUUGUUAUCCGGCCCAGCCCAAUUAGAAUUCUAUUAAUAUAAAGGUUAAAUUCUGUUGUUAGUCCCUGUACUCUUUGUAAAUUCAAAAUUUAGUCGUGCACUUUUAUUUCUAAGAAUUUAAUACCUCAUAUUAUUAACACCAUCAUAUUUCUUUUUUUUAUUUUGUUUGUAAAACAUUUUUGUAAUAAAAAAUUAUUCACUUAGUAAUUAUUUAAUUAAAAAAUGGCAAUAAACUUAAAUCUAAUUGCAUUAUCAAUUGGAAUUCCAAUUUUAAAUCUUAAAAAUAGAAAGAUAAAAAUUCCUUAAAAUAAAAGUAGAGGGACUAAAUAACAAAAAUACAAAUAGUACAAGAAUUUGGAGCAUAUUUUUACCUAAUUUAAAUAGUAAAAUAGGUAAACCCAAGUUUAUAUCAAUUUUAAUAUUUUUAAUAUUUAACAUUUUAAUUUUUUUCUGAUUUUUUAUAUUUUUAUAUUAUUUUUAAUCACUUUUAUGGGAAAAAUAUUAAAUUUAACUCAAAGUUGUCAUGUGUCACCAUCUAGUUGAUCUGUCAACUUAUUUUAAUGGUCAAUGUGGUAAAUAACGGAAACUAUUAAUAAAAAAACUUAAUUAGGUGUAAAUUUAAUACAGUGCCUUAAUUGAUUUUUUUAAUAUUUUUAAACGGUUUUUUUAUAUAAACCUUUUACAAAUUAAAUUAAAAUUAACAGGGUGUAUUAAUUUAAAUUAUAAUUUGAUUUUUAAGUAAUUUUACAAUUGAGUAAGUAAGCAUACUUUUUUUUUAUUUGAUAAAGUAUUUCAUAAUAAAUAAAUAAAAUGUUUUUAGAACUUAUUUAUCAUUCAAUAUAAUUUUUUGUUAUAUUCAAGUAUGCAACUAUUUUGUUUUGAAAUUUAUUUUAAGCAUAGGACAUUAUUAUACAUUUGAAUAUGUUUUAAUAUUUAAUAUAUAAUUUAUAUAACCAAAUUAAACUUUACAAAUUAUUUUCUUUUACUUAAUUAAAAAAGUAUUAUAUCAAAAAUAUUAUAAUAAUGAGUUACAAUAAAUUAUUUUUUGAUAUUUUUAUUGAAAAUAUCAUAAUAUCAACAAUUUUAAAUAUAAUUUAAAUAUACAUAUUUCUAUAUGUUUUAAAAAUAAAUUUAUUUAUCUUCAUUUUAAAUAUUAUUCCAUCGACUGUAUAUAAAAAUAAAAUUAUUACAUUAUUACAUUAUUUAAUUUUAAAAGUACAAAAGAGAUGAACGUAAAGUAGAGUAAAAUGUUUACGCACAUUGCAUUGAAAAGCAAAAAAUAAGAGUAAAGUUCCAGCUUUUGAGCAAGCCAUGAAGCUUGUGCUUAUUCUAAUUAAGAACAUACUGACUUAUAUUUUAAUAUAAAUAAAUGUAUAUAAAUACAAUCUUUCAAAUACAUAAAUAAAAAACCUAAUCAUCAGAAAAUAAAUCAAACAGAGAAUUUCUAUUGACACAAUGUUACUACAUCACUAGUCCCUGCAAUUUUCGCAGGUCAUUGUUCACAGUAAACCUUCUACAUUAGUCAUAGAAGUCAUUUUUUGGCUCCUGAUUACUUUCCCUCAGUUGAAUCGAGCGAAUUCAUUUUCGAGAUUCCAUUUGGUGUUAUUUCAUACUCUUACAUCGUACCCGAAAUGGGAUCUGCAGUAGUUGGUGUUUGUCAAUACCGUACUGGUGGAACCGCACUCACUGUCUAUAAGUGAAACCGAUGAUCUAUCGAGUUUGAUGGACCAAGGGUACUGAUACUGAUACUGGUACUGGGAGUUCUUUUCGGCAGCUCCGACAUGUGAAGACGACCGCUUCAUUUUCAUUGCCUUUGGGACAUGAUUCCGGCCUUCAGUAGACGAUCUCCGCCGGCCGCUAGGUUGUCUCUCGAUCGAAUCCGGUCUCGACUUGGGCGCACUUUGUGACCUGGCUUUGGCUCUUGAUGAUUCGGUGUUGGCCAUGUAAUUGGGGCAGAACGAGUACUCAAAUGUCUCGGAUUCUGCAUAAUGGGGACUGCUUUGUGCUACGGUGAAAAAAUGGUCUUCGAAAUGACCACUGCAAGCACCGGGGCUUAUUUGAUCAGCCAAAUAUGAUGAUGUUACCGGUGAUGCCUGAGGAUUUGAGAAUCUGUGUUCCAUUGAAUAGCUGUUUCUACUCUGCAAACUUGCCUUUGAAUCACCAUGAUCUAUCUCUACAAUCUUAAUGUUUUCCUCCACUCCACUAUCAAUCUCCUACAUUCUCAAAUACCACAUUGCAAAUUAGACAGGUCAGGUUCGUUUUGAGUUGCGUAAAUUUGAGUGAAAUUAUCGUGUUUAUAAAAUAUUUAGAUCAAUUAUCAAGGGGUUAAUUUUUUAUGUGGAUCAUUUCGUCGAGUUUAGUGGAUUCAUAUUGUUAACUAUUUUAAUUAUAUUAAAUUAUAUCGAGUUUGGAUUUAGAUGAAUCAAAAUUUUGAGAUUGGAUCAGAAUUCACAGUUAUAAUAAAAUAUUAUGCGGAAAAAACGUGGAUCAUUGAAAUGAAUCGAAACUUACAUGAUAUCCAUGCCGGAGCCGCUGAUCUGGUGUUGUGGACCUUCUAUGGGGCGAUUGUCUUCGGCUAGCAGGCCUGGAAUCUUCAACCAUCCGAAUCCUCUGAGCUCGAGCUCGAGCUUGUGCGGUAACCAAAGCCUGCAUGCAUUUAAGAGUAACACUAGCUUGUCUUCUCACCAAGUGACCUCUUACCAGUGCCUGUAACUUCACUAUCCCUUUCAACGCUUUCAAAGCUUUCCUUGCCUGUUCAUCAAUAGCACCCACUUCCGAUCUCAUCAAAAACGUCUCAAAUAAAUACAUAAUUCAGCCAUCAAAUCUAACAAAUUAUAACAUACCAGGUAAGAUCGAAACACAGCUUGAAUCAUCUUAGCAGCGGCCUCUUCACCUGCAUCAACUUUCUCAUCGUCAGCACUACCACUUACCCGGAUCACAUCCGUCACAACCGGCGGAGCCGGUGGUGGUGGAGGUGAAGGGGUAACCACUUGUUCUACAGAAUUCAACUCCCUAACAGGCGUCGCUGAAGCCGAAGAUCUCCGGAAACUCCAUCGUCGUUUCUCUUUAGGAGUUGUCGGUGGCAGUGGGAUCGAAACGGUCGUCGUUGGAUUCUCAGGGACAACUGAAGAAUUCUGAUUAUUACUUAUGUUUCUACUUUUGUCUUUCUUACCAGUCAACAGGCUUUUCAACCAUUUCGCUGUCUUCCCCAUCGCUGUUUAAACCAUUCUAGUAUUCACAAAAAUGAAGAUUUUAUAGAUCUCGUAGGGUAUAUUAUAUAUCUAAUGAGCAUUAGGUAAGGACACUAAAUGAUAGCUAAUUAAACAUCUUCAUCUACCUGUAAUAAGAUAUCAAUGGUGACAUCCUCGAUGUUUCUUUAAGUAAAAUUUCCGGUUGGAGUUCAUUAGAUCGGGUUAUUACAAAACAAUGUUUUGGUUGAUUUGGAAGGGAACAUAGCAGAAAGCCAUGUGAAAAUGGGACCAGGGAAGAUGGAGAAUCCGUAUAAAAUACUACUGAUUUUUGAGGUGUAUUAAUUUGGGGAGUGGCAUUUCGAAGAUGGAAAUGCCCUGUCGGGGGUGAUAGUGGGAUCCACUUAGAGAUUAGCAGAGUUAUAGCUUUGGGAUUGGUCGUUGGGAUCUAUGACCAAGCACAUGCUCGUUCUUUCAAAGCUAAGUGUGUGCAGUAUUGUUUUGUCUUUUGCACCAAGUUUUCUUCUGUCAAUAGACAUGGUCCCCCGUUGAAGGCUGCGAUUUAGGUUGUAAAAAUGGAAAUUUUUGUUAAUUUAGUAACUGAUUAUAAAUUUAAAAAGGUGAUUAUGGAUUCAAAUCAUAUAAUUAACAGAAUUUUAUGUCAACAACUUAAUCAUUAAUGGAUUUCAAAUCAUCUCACUUUCAACAAAGUACGUUUUUUAAGGGGAGAGUAUUUAUAGUAGUGAGUAAGAUAAUUUUCUUUCGAUUAUGAGUAUGAAGUAGUUAUGGUACCUCAAUCCAUUUUAAUGGUGAAGUUAAAAUAUUUUUUUUGAAAUUAAAUUAUAUAUUUUUAUGAUAAUAAAAAUGUAUUUUUAUUAUUUUAAUAAAUGAUGUUUUAUACUUUUUAAAUGAUUAGAUCAUUUUUUUAUCAUUUUAGGACCAAAUAUAAUUUUACAAUUACUAAUUUAAAAUUUUAUAAAUUAUAGAAGAGUUUAAACAAAAAAAAUUAUUUUUGGGGGUCGGGGGGCCUACCAACCCCCUAGUUUCACCAUUGAUCCGUUUCUGAAAUUAUUAUUUUAUUUUUAUAUAUAUAAUUAUAAAAAAAAGAAAAAAUAUAAGAAUGUGUUAUAUGAAAUCUCGUAUUUUUUAUGAUUAUUUUUUAAAAGAAAUGUGUUUAAAUAUUUAUUUGUUUUUAAAAAUUAAAAACAAUUAUAAACCAUUAACAAAUUAAAUUAUGAAGAUGGAUACAUUUAACUUCAUAGAGGAUAAGACAAAUAAUAGGAUACAUUAAAAGUGAAUUUAACAAUAUCUAUCUCGCUUAUUUCCUUGUCAGGAUCAAUUAAAUUUAUCUAGGUUAUGGUAACAAUAAAAUAAUGGAUUUAAUUAAGGGGGAAAUGUAAUUGCUUUGGUUAAGCAAAACUAACUAAUUUACUUAUGCAUAAAUGAAUUGCUUUUAGAUUUUUGUUUCUGAUAUUAAUAAAAUGUUGAAAAUUUAGUAAUUUUGUUUAAUGUGAUAAUGUCGUUUGGUAAGCGACAUAAUUUCACCGCCUUUAAACACACCAAUAAAAUUUCCAAUCCCAUGCAAUACACCAAGCCCAGCAAUUCGCAAAUCUACCCUUGUCCUCUCCUCAUCGAAUGCUUUAUUAGUGUAUAACUGUAUUAUAAUUAUAUUUAUCAUAUAUUUAUAUUAGAUUUAACACAUGAAUAAAUAAUUAUUUUGACUUAUCAUGUAUUAUUGACAGUAAAGCACUCACGUAAUCUUCUUAUAUGUAGUAAUGUAUAUUUUUUUGGUACUUAAUAAUGCAAGGUUUGGCUGUCAAUCACAUGGUAGGUUUAUAUAUGAUCCCUCAUGAUCCUUUUUUUAUCUUAAUUCCGAGCUAAUGGUAUCUAAUCUUACAAAGGGUUAAAAGCAAAACUUAAAUCUUAUUGGCGAUCGUUUUAUCACUCUGAGUAUAUAUGGAAAUAUUAGGGUAUCCGCAACUUAUAAUUUAAUAAGUAGGUUGAAAUAACGAAGAUGUUUGGUAAACAGAAUUUUGGGCUUUUUUGGUUGAUUGGGUAUAAAUGGAGUAUUGGGUAGUCAAACCCUCUAAAUGUAGUGUUUGGUGAAUAGAGGUUUGUAAGAACUUGUUGAGCUAAAACCUCCAAAACAAAAAACGCAAGGAUGAGCAUAUUUUUUACAGCUGAUUGAGAAUGAGAUAUGUAGAAUGGCAUAUCUGACUAUGUUUGUUCUAGAAUUACUCUCUUUGCCACAUGCUUUCAAACCUAUUAGAGGUGCCAAGAUAUUGUAGACGACAACAUCGUCUUUCUUAAAUAUUUAUUUUUACUUGUUUCGAUAUGUAUAUAUUUCUUGAAGAUUUAUGUAUUCUUAAUUUAUUUUCAAUUUACCUGUGUAAAAUAAUUUCUUAUGCAACUUUAUAUUAAUUGAAAUAUGUUACUUGACAAAUUUAUCACUAAUUUACAUACUAAGAACAUGACAUAAUUAUCACUAAGAAUAUAGUUUACAAUUAUAUUGAUACACUAUUACUAUUUGCAAAUAAACAACUUAAGAAGUUUGUUUAUUUAAAAUUUCAAAAAUAUUUACUAAUUAAUUUCAUUAAUUAAUAGUGUUUUAUUUCAAUAAUAUCAUGUCAUUAUUUGUCAUUUUACACGUAUCAACUUUCAGCUAAGUUUUACCAAACACUUUUAAAUAAAUAGUUGAUAAAAUCAAUUGGUCAAAUUAAUUAAUAGAAUAAGUUGAUUAAACCAGCUACUACAAUCAACUAUCAACUAAUUGUCAAACAUGACCAAUAAUAAUUAUCAUAUUUUAUAAAAAUUUAAAAUUUUUAUUAUUUUACUAUAUUUUAAAGCGACAUGUGUCCAAAUACUUUCCAUGCAGAAAAGAUAUAAAAAGAUAAAAAUGCAUUUUAAAAAGUAAUAUAAAAAAAAUUGAUAUUCAUAAUUUGUUGAAAUUAACAAAAAGGUCAAAUCCUCACGAGAAGAUCUAAAACAUGGUAGCCAGCAAAUGUGAUUGCUUAUUAUUCUCUCUCACACUAAUAAAACCAAUUACUUUCAUAUACACGUGAUUAUGGUCGGGUCACAGGAUUUGGACCGCUUUAUGCAUGGUGUCAAUAUAUAUAUAAUUACCAGUUUUUUUUCUAAUUAAAAUAUAAAUUAUUUUAAAUUUAAUAUUAAAGAAUUUUAAAAAAAUGAUAACACAUAGAAAACAUUGAGAGUGAAAAUUAAAAAAAAAUUAAAAUAUUAUUCUUUAAAAUAAUAUUUUACAAUAGUUGUGAACAUUUAUAUGAAUUUUUAGAAUUUUUAAAAUUAAAAAAAAUUAUAUAUGCUGUAUUACAUUUAAAUUAAACAAUACAUAUUUUAUGAUAAUUUUUAAAUUUAAUGAAAUAAUUAAAAAUAAAUUUUAAAUUUAAAUUAAUUUAUAAUGAUAAAUUUUAAAGAUAACAACAAAUUUAAAUAUUAAGAUAAAUAAUAUUUAUCCUAAUGAUAAUUAAAUAAUAUUUGUGUUUAUGUUUUUUUUUAAUUUAUGAUAAUAUAAUUUAUCUUUGUGAUUUACGUAAAAAUUUACUUAAAAUAGAAUUUAUCUAACCCUUUCAAUGGGAGAGUGUAUAGUAGAAUGGUGAGAGAGUGUUUCUGGGGAGGGAGGACGAAGCACCAGGUGGGGGCUGAGAUUGGUGUGGUGUCAUUUGGUCAAGAUUGAGAGUUGAUUUCUUUGUAACCAGUGUAGGUGGUUGAGUCUGUGUUUGGUUUGAAGGAAGCUCCAAAUUGGGGUUUGCUGGGUUAACAAAGACAUCAAUCGAAGGAGGAACUAUGGCUCAAUCAACAAGGAAAGAGAUAGGAGGAGACGAUGAUGUUGACAAGGAGACUAGUUCACCCUAAUAGGUGGAGAGCAAUAGUAGGAGAAGUGAAGAGAAGGAGCCAAAUGUUGGUAAGGAAAAUUGUGUGUUGGGUUGAAUGUUUAAGGUCGAUGAAGGGGGAGAGAAUAUCUCCUUAUCAUCAUGUGGUUUGAUAUACAUAGGCGAAAAUUCCCUUGUCUAGUAGUGCAACAUCUGUAACACCCAUUACCCGAGACCGUUGCCGGAAUUGAGUACGAGGCAUUACUUAGCUUAUCUUACUAAUUCGGGGCAUAAAAAUUCGUUUUAAAAAUUAAUUUCACUGUUUACAGUAAUCUGUCCAAUCGCGCAGCAGUUACUAAAUUGAUUAUAACUCGAGCUACGGAAUUUCAAAUUUAAUUUCGUAAAUUUUUCCUGAAACUAGACUCAUAUAUCUUUCUACCAUAAAAUUUUCAGAAUUCUUGGUUUGACCAAUUAGUACAGUUUAUUAGUUAAAUUCUCCCCUGUUUCUUCACUCGACUGUCCUGACCCCUUGGUACUAAAAAUAAAUUUUCUCAUUAUAGGAUUUUCAUAUGAUAUUACCACUUAUUUCUACAGAAAAUAGACUCAAUAAGGAUUCUACACAUAUAAACUACAACUCAUAAAUAUUUUUAUACCAUUUUUAGUGAUUUUCUAAACUCGGAACAGGAGACUCCAGAAAUAGAUCUGACCAUUUCUCACUAAAAUUCACAUAUCUUAAAAUAUAAAUUUCUUUUUGCUACACCGUUAUUUUUCUAUAAAAAUAGACUCAAUAAUCUUUCAUUUCAUACAUCAUUCACCCUCUAAUUCAUUUUAUACUAUCCUAGGUGAUUUUUCAAAGUUACGUCACUAUUGCUGCCUGAAUUUUGUUUCUUUGCAAAAUUUUACCAUUUUAUGAUUUUCAUACCUAAUUUAUCAUUUAGACUUUUAUAACAAUAAUUAACUUCAUCCUUGACCAUUUAAACAACCAUUCAUCAUCAAAUACUUACAUAUCAUUCUAUACUAAAAUCAUAUUUACAAAUAUACAAAAUUACUAAAUUCCUAUACAUGCCAUAACUAAAAGAAAUGUUCACCACCACAAUUAGCUCAGAAUCGGCUUUGGAUGCUGAUUCAACAAUCCGACUUUGACCUAACCUGCGCACGGAAACAACCGUACGUUGAGUAUGGAAAUACUCAGUGGUAUUACCAUAAUUCGAAUUAAUAACAUUAAUCGAUAAAUUAUAUACAUUUUAUUAAUGUCUACAAUUAUUCAUUAAUUAUCUCAUGCAUUAAAUCAACUUGAUAAUUAAUAACAAUAAGCUAUAAUUCAAAUCUUGUAUUUAAUUGUAUUCAUACCUUAUUUCACUAUCUCAAUUCCAUGGGAUUUUUCUUUACAUCUCAUUCCAAUAGUUCAUUUCAAUUCAUAUACAAUUCAUUUCAUUUAAUUUAUAUUCAAUAUAAAUUUUAUUGCAAUUUGUACUCACUAAUAUCAUAUAACAAAAUUUACUCUUUAUCAUAUCAUGAACUUUGGGUUCAUAUCUUUAAAUCUCUUAUCUCGAUUUUCAAAUUCUCACAUCAAUUCACAAUUUCACUUUUGUCCACAACUUAUACUCUUAGCCCAAAGUAGAUUUUACAGAACACCCCGGAUAUACGGAACAAAUACAGAGAGCACAAAUGUGCUAAACAGAGAGCACUGACGUGCUAAAUAUCAAAGAGCACCAACAUGCUAAUAAUCAGAGAGCGCGCUAAAGUUCCUUAAUAAGUUCCUUAAUGGCAUGCCACUAAUAUCCUGGUAGUUCCAAAUUCCAUCUACUUGGGCAUUAAAUCUGAAUCUCAUUUAUUUAAAUACUUUAUAGAAUUAUUUCAAAAAGGAUUUAUCAUUUCUUCGUCAUUACAAUUUACUACUUAUUUCGCAAUUCACAUAUAUCACACUUAUUCACAAUUUAAUUCACUUUUAUUCCAUUCAUAUAUAUAUAUAUUUUUUAAUUCAUUUUCCACUCGAAUUCAUGUACAAUUCAAUAUCAAUAUUCAUCUUAUUAUUAUUAUUUUUUUACUAAACAUAUUAUUUAAAAUUCAACAAUUAUUAUUAAUAAAUUUAAUACCAAUAUGUAUAUAUAUAUUCAUUCAAUUCUUUCACGAUACUCACCUUAAUUUACUUAUCAUGCAUAUGAAUUGAAAUUUCAACGAUUAAUAAUUAAAUUCGAAUUAUAGUAAUACUAACCGUAAUUUCUCUCGAGUCACUCCUUGUCCACUUUCUCCUUUCCUUUCUCGGACAAUGACUCGUACACGACAUUAGCUACAUAAUUAAACAAUUAAAAAUCAUUAAUACACAAUUUCAUUAAAAUAUUUCCUUUUAUACCUAAACUUUGCCCAAAUUCUAAUUUAAUCCAUUAUCAAUAAUAAUUUUAUUUUCCCAAUCUAACUCUAUAUUCUCUCUUAAUUCUUACUAUAAAGUCAAUUUAAUUCCUCAAUUUCACCAUAAAUCCCUAAUUUCGGGAUUCUUUCAAUUUAAUCCCUAUCAAUUCAAAACUUAUAUUUUAUUUUACAAUUACAUUCUUUACUAACUUCUAACUUGAAAUUAAAUCAAUUUAACCCCUAACUAAACCUAUAUAUUUUUCUUUCUCAAUUCAUACCCUUAUUCUACCCAAUUUCUUGCUAAACUCAUAUUUAACUAUUUAAUUUUUAUCAUGUUUUCAUAAUUCCGAAUUUAUUUCAAAUUAAUCCCUAAAAUUCAAAACUUAUAGUUUAGUUUACAAUUCAAUCCUUUAUUCAAUUCCAAUCAAAAUUUCUAUCAAAUACAUCCCUAAUUUAACAAUUUAUUCAACAUGAACCAUGCUUAAUAAUCUACUAACUUCCAAAUUUUCAACUUAAAUCAAGUAGUAUUUUGUUCUAGGAUUUCAAAAAAAAUAUCAAAAUUAAGAGAAAAGGGGAUUAAAUUGACUUACCAAAUUACUUUGAACCUUAAAACCCCAAAUUUCCCUUUUUCUUUUCUUUUCUUUCUUUCUUUCCUUCCUUCCUUCUCUGUUUCAUUUUGCUCUCUGUUUCUUUCUUUCUCCCUUCUCUGUUUUGUUUUGCUCUCUGUUUCUUUUCUUUCUUUCUUUGUCAUAUAUAUAUAAUAAUAUAAUAAUAUAAUAUAAUAUAAUAUAUUAAUAAUAAUAUAAUAUAAAAACAUAAUUAUUACUUACGCAUGUAUAAUAUAAUAUAUAUUUUAAAUUAAAAAUAUUUUAGAUUUUUCUUUUGUUAUGCCGCCUCAACUUUAUAAAAAGGCAUAAUUUCCUAUUUGGUCCUUUAACUUUUCUUUAAUCUAUAAUUAAACUUUUAUCCUUACUUCAAUUUAGUCCUUUUUCAUAAUUAACUAUCAAAGCGUUAAAAUUUCUUUACGAAACUUUAAUAUUAUCCUAUUGACACUCCGUAAAUAUUUUUAUAAAUAUUUACGGCUCAGUUUAUAAUAUCGAGGUCUCGAUACCUCGUUUUCGACCCAAUUUACCUAAUAAUUUCUUUUAAAUCACAAAAUUCACUGAUUCAAAAAUAUUUCUAAAAUCACACUUAACUUAUAAUUAUUAAUUAAUAAAUUUUACUAACUUUUUCAUCAAUUUUAGUGAUCUCAAAUCACUAUUCUGACAUUACUAAAAAUUGGGCUGUUACAACAUCGCCAACAACUUUGAGAUAUGACAAAUAGAGAAGUUGUUACACAUUACUGCUUUGACAUUCUCUUUGUUGGGGGUAAUCUAAGGUUAUAGGCCUUAGUGGUUCCCUAUUGGGAAAUAAGUACAUACUCAUUAAAAAGUGAGUGGCCUAAUGGAGGGUUUAUUAUUUAGCGAGUGGCUGGUCAUGAUACAGUGUAAAUCAAAGGGCUGUGUGUAAGUUUUUAUAGGUUGUUUCUCAUAAUACCACGUGUCCAAAUCAGGGUAGGGGUAUAACAAAUUUAUUUAUUAUUUAUUGUGGAUUUGUUGUAUUAUGGAUUAUUAUAUGCAUAGAAUGAAAUGAUCUUAUUGUUUAAUUUAUGAUUUUUUUUUGUUUAUUUUGAGUUUGUUUAAUGAUUUAUAUUUGUGAAGCUUAUUAAAAAAUGUUUUAUAUAAUUGAUAAAUAUUUUAAAUUUGAGAUUUAUUUAAUCUCAUUAUUUGUUAUUUGUAAAUAAAUUUAUAUACAUAUAUCAAAUGAUUUUAAAAAAAUAGUGAUAAUUACAAAAUGAUACACUAAAAUAAAUCAUUAUCAAUACAUACUUGUAUCAAUAGAAAAUUUAUAUAUAUCCACCUGUACGAUACUAACUACCUUAAUCGUUAAAAUCCAACUACAAGAAAUAAUUUUAUUUUGUUUUUUCUUGAACUUAUUGUUUUUGAAUCCCUAAACCUACAUCUAUCCAUGAAAAAGUUUAUACAACUUAACACUAUUUUAGCUAAGACCUUUCACCUCUUAAAUUUAAUACGAAUAACAAUAUUAUCAAUAAUUACAACGAUAGAUGUCAAUAUGGUAUUGGUGUCGGCCAUAUUCCAUAUUGUUCUAAAGUAAUGCUUCAUCCCUAUCAAAAUUUUGAUGUGUUUUGAAUAGGGAUUUAAUUGAGUGGAGUUGAAUACUAAUAAGUUUGAGUUUAAUUUAAAAUUUGAAGUAUGAGAUUCAGUUUGAGUUCAAUUGAAUAUUUAUUUUUAAGUACUCGAGCUCAAGUUCGAUUAAGCUUGUAUAUCAACUUAUGUAUAUUUAAGCCUGAAGUUGAGUUCAAUUAAACUUGUAUGUAUUCAAGCUCAAUUUCAAAUUCGACUUGAUAAUUAAACUUAAGGUUAAUAAUAUUAUAUUAAGGGUAUUGAGUAACAUAAUUUAAAAAUGAAAAGCUCAAUAAGAUCCAUGAAUUAUUUAAGUCAAGUAUUACUAAGUUCAAAUCUAACUCAAUUAGUACGCGGUCUGUUUGAGCUUAAACUUAGCUUGAUAAUUACUAUUAUACCCCCACCACAACACAACAUCGGCAAGCUGUUGAACAUUUCACAAAUGACCCUCUGCGUGGAACAGUCUGCAUACAACCCUCCAUUAGGAAUUGUCUACAAGCAACUCUUCACAAAUUUUGUUUGAGUUAAUCUAUAGGCAGUUCACUACAAACCCAUCACUGAGACCAUCAAAGCAUAAUUGUCUCUUACUACCCCAAGGACGAGAAUAUCAAAGUAGGACCGCACAUUAUAUUCCAUAGAGACAACUGAUCUGCAACGGCCUUGUCACUUGGUUAACCUUCACAACAUAUAGAGCAUUAUACUGUGAGUUAUGUGGCACUAUAGGACAAGAGAUGACCCCAUAUAUAAUCCUGGGUGCAUGAGGAACUAGGGAUUGGCCCCUUUCCUUAGCAAUACACAACAACACUAGAGCAUUUUUCUUCUCCUCAUAACAUUGGCUCUCCACUUGUCAUAGGUGACUGACACUCUUUUCAUUGUCCUUCCCUCUUAACAUCGAUUUUUUGUUUGUCACAGGUGAAUUGGUACUCCUCUUUACCAUCCUCCCUUCCUUCCUAAAAUCGAUUCUUCACUUUUCACAAAUAACCCAUAUCAACAAUAAUUAAAUAUUGACACGUGAUUUACAUCCUUAAUUUUAACUGUAUUAAUUCAACUCGACUAACACGGAAUACGUACCUACCCACCAGUAAUUAAAAAAACUAAACACAUAAAAAUCAACACAUACGACUUUAAAAAAACAAAAAAACAAUACCAGUAAUUAAACUCAGCCUUAACUUCCAACUAUCAACGACUUAUAAGCCGAAGUCCACUCCACGUUAAUGCUCCCACCAGUCAAAUUCACCGUCCAUUUAUUGACAAGGCCCCCCUUCGCCGCCUUGUUUUUUCAAACUCUUCGACCCUUCCAGGUUCCUCCAACUCAAUAAAAACACAACACUUAUACAAAAAACCACCCUUAGUCCUCCAACAUUCCCCUCAUGGCUUCUCUCAAUUCCCUUCCCUUCAUUGCAAUCUUCCUUGUUCUUCAUCUUAGCAUUGCUAAAUCCGACUUUUUAUCACCCCUUUUCCCACCUAUCUUUGGUUCGUCACUUACUUCCCUUUUUUUCAAAUUUUAAUCCUUUUUUUUCUUUUUCUGAUUGGUUUCUGAGAUCCUUGGGUCUUUUCAUAACUUGGGUUUUUCUUAAUUAAUAUUUUUUAGUGAGGUUUAAUCAUGUAUUUGGGUUUUUUUUGUUCUUCCCUUUUUGUUGCAGAUGAUGUAUGCAAAGAAGUGCAUUGUGGAAAAGGAAAAUGCAAGCCUUCAUCAAAUGGAACACUCCCUUAUACUUGUGAAUGCGAUAUUGGUUGGAAACAAACAGCUGCUGAUCAUGAUGAUCAUCCCAAGUUUCUCCCUUGCAUUUUUCCCAAUUGUAAAUAACCCCUCUGCUUGCUUUUUUCUCUUUACUUUUUUAAGCCUAAUCGUCACCUUUAAUUGUUACCUGUUUUAGUUCCUACAAGUUAUUUAUGUAUUGGUUAUGCUUUCUAUGUAUAUAAUAUCAAAUCAUGAAUCCUCUCUGGCUUUGGCAUUAAUUUGAUGAUGUUAUGCAAGGGAAAUCUUGAUAAUUUGUGGAAAUUACAAAGUGGUCUUUGGGGUAGUAUUGGGAACUCUAUUAGACUAAAUUGAACCAUUGAUUAAUCCCGCCUCCAUCAUGUGAAGCUGAUUGUGUUGUUGUUUUUAAGCCUUUUUGGUAGCAGUAGUUUUUGUUUUAGAAGCCAAUGAGACCUUGGUUGUGUUAGCAAGGCAUUGAGCGCCCAUGUUCUAGUGGCCGUGUUGAAAAUUAUGCUUGGGAUAGUUCAAUUUAGAGCUCUUAAUGAUUGGUUUUGAUUGGAACUAUUGACAGUUGGAUUGUUGGUACGGGGUUGUGAUCGAUUAAUUUGUGGAUUUCAGGUACGCUUGAUGCUUCUUGUGCAGCUGCUCCUUCUCCUGUGCAAGAAAAGGAAGCCAAAGCAAAUCGAUCUAUUUUUGAUAGUAAGCUUUGUACUAUUUUAAGCUUUGGAUUUGGUCAUUUUAUGUUCUUUUCUUCUUAAUGUUAAUGCACUUGUUCAUGGUUUAACAGUCUGCCGUUGGACUAAUUGCGGUGGUGGAUCAUGCAACAAGACAUCACCGUUUACGUAUGACUGCAAAUGUUCAGAGGGUUAUUUUAAUCUUCUUAAUGUCUCUGUCUUCCCGUGCUACAGAGAAUGUAAGAACACAUAGGCUCCCAGUUUUAGUGUAGCAUCGAUAAUGGUGGUUAAGUAGUAUAUGCUAAAUGAGUUUGAACUUUGUGAACUUUAAGGUGCGAUUGGACUGGAUUGUGCAAACCUUGGGAUCACCACGUCGAAUAAAUCUACUUCCGCAACACCAUCAUCUUCCCAAAACAAUGCGAAUAGAGGUAAAAACCGAGCACAUAAAUCUCUGUCCUUCUUUGGUUUGACUAAAGGAAAAACAGCAUGCUAUGACAUUGUCAACCGAAAAAUAAAACCCGAUAUUACUCCGGCUUUCAUUUUUCUUAAAGUACUCAUAUCAUGAAAGAAAAUAACAUCUUUCUAUUUCUUCUCUCAGCUGGGUCGAAGCUGCUAGAGAAUUGUCAAUGGGUGAUAAUGUUGGUAUUGUUGCUGGUUAUGGUAGUUUGAUUUGUAUAUAUAUAAAGCCGAUGCUCGGAGUUUCGUGUUCCAUGGAUAGCGCAAUUCGAGCAUGAAGACGAUGCAAUAUUUGUAUGUAAAUUUUCAUAUCAUAUCAAUAAACUAGCCAUUUUAGGAAGAAGGAAUCUUUUAUAGUUAGUAAUUUUGCCUUUAUGUUAUAGGAAAUUUGUAGAUGGAUUUCCACAUAGGGUUAUAUUAUUUCUUAUUAUGGCAUUUAUGACAUUUUUCAUUGUUUUUCUUUAUUUUUUUUUGUAAUUUAUAGCUAAGGAUCCAAGCAUAUUUUUUUUAAUAUCAUUUUUAAGGUCGACUGUAUAAAUCAAUUAAGUUACACUUGGGAUUUCUUGAUUUAAAAGGUAAAAUCUUGUUGUAUAUUAUAGGGUAAUCGACCUAUUCAUGGUUUAGAUGGUUCCACAAAUUGGGCUUUGGAUAAGUCAGGUCUGAACUGAAUUCAAACUAAAUAAUUAGAAAAAUAUUAUUAUAAUAUAUAUUGCGGUAUAAAAAUGGACCGUCGGACAAGAUGGGUUUAAUUUUGGUCUAAACAUUAAAAAGAGAAAAUUUUGAAUUGGGCCCUGUCUCAAUUCGGCCCAUUGGCUAGUCUAUUGUAUUAUGGCUGUGUCUCUCAAUCAGACUAUAUUUGUGCCCAUUUGUAUUUUUUAAGGACAAUAUACUGAGUUUAAUUUUUUGAUAUUUAAUAUAGUAUUUUUAUUUUUUAAUUUAAAAUUUAAUCAUCAUUUAAAUUUUUUAUCCCAAUUAAAUAUCUAUAUUUUUUAUUAGAGCACAUAUAUUAAAUAUUUAUCUGUCACAAAAAUAUAAUUAAAUUUAAGAAUCGAAUUGAAAAUUAAACUUAAAUUUAAGUACUUAAUUGAAAAAAAUAUUAAAUUGAGCAAAAUUUAGAUAUGUUAACUUUUUUUUUCUUAAUAUUAAAUUAUUUUAAAGAAACUUUUGGGAUGAUUGAUUGGAGAAGUAAUGAAUUAGGACAGCAGACUGAACAAACAUCCCAAUCUGUCACAAAACCCUAAUCACUAGUAUCCCUCCACCUUGUCAUUCAUCUUCAACUCUUCAAUCCCAUCAAAUCUCCUAUCAAUUCACAAUUUAAAACAUUUAAUUUUUUUAUUAUAUCAUAAUUUCGGUAUACCAAAAUAAUUAAUACAACAUAAUUUAUUUGAUUAUUAAAUCUAAUUUUGCCCUUUCCCAUUUUAUGUGUUGGCAUUAAUUAUGGGUAUAUUUGUUUUUAAUUAAAAAUUACAUUUAUUAAUAAACUUAUAUUUUAUUCACCUAACUUUAAAAAGUUACAUAAUAAAUUUUGAAUUAUAUGAAAAUUUUUAUUUAAAUUAUUGAACUAUUUAAAAUUUGAAAAUUUGUAUUUAAAUCACUGGUAUGUUAUUUUUAAAAGUUUGGUUAAAUGAUGUCUCAACGACGAUUCGAUGAUCGAAAUCUACCAAUAGAUAACAAUCUUAAAUUCAAGUCAAUUUAACUAUCAUUGUUAAAUAUUAAAAAAUAUUUAAAUUUUGAUUCGUAAAUUUAUAACGUUUAAAAUUAUUUUAUUAAAAAAUUAAACUGAAGAAGAAAUGAAAAUUGAAAAUUGAAAAUUUUCGGUUGGUAAUCGACAUUACAACAACGAGUUUAAUAAUUUAAUUCCUUAAAUAAACACUUUUAAAUAUUUUAAUGAUGGUUUUUAAUUUUUUUAAAAAUUAAUUUAUAAAACGUAAGUAUGUUUUUCUUUUUCAAAAUUUUCAUACCAUUGUUUACUUUCACGAAAUUCCGAGAGAAGGAGAGUUGACAGUGCUGGCUAUAUUUAUGAGUAAAGAGAAAUUGAAUUUAGUCUUUGGAAAUUGGAGCCGCCAAUCACCCUUCUCCUUCUCUUCACUCUCACAUCUAAUGUCACAAUUUGUCUCUCUUUUAAUUAAUUAUUGUACUGUAAUUAGGUGUACUUUUUUUUGGAGUAGGUGUAAUAUAUAUGAUAAAGUAAACUAUAGCUGGUCACUUUUGUUUACCUUAGGUUUCGCUUUAGUCACUUAUGUUUGAAAUGUUACGUUUUAGUCAUUUACGUUAUCAUGUUGUAACAUUUUAGUCACUGAGUUAUUAAUCGUCGUUAAUGGUGUAACGGUAAGCUGAUAUGGCACGUUAAAUCAUCAUUUCAAACAAAAUUUUAGGUUAAAUUAUACAAUUGAUCCCCAUAUUUUUUUCGUUUUAAGUAAUUUAAUUUUUUUCUUUUAUGUUCUUUAAACUUUCCUCUUUUUUUUCAUUCUCUUUUGUUUCUCCCUCUGUUUUCAUACCUUUCUCAUUUCUUUUAACAUAUUAGGAAGUCGAAUUGGCAAUGAAAAAAGAAGUAGGAAGUCGACUAUCAUCAUUUGCCUAUAACCAAAACCCAUAAACCCAUACCAUGCUUCUUUUUUCACUACCAAUUCGACUUCUUGGUAUGUUAAAAUAAAUAAAAAAGGUAGAAAAACAGAGGGAGAAGUAGAAGAGAAUAGAAAAAAAAGAAAAAAAAAAGAAAGAAAGUUAAAAGAACAUAAAAAAAAUUAAAUUGAUCAAAACGAAAAAUUAUGGGGACCAAUUGUAUAAUUUAACCUAAAAUUUUUAUUUGAAAUGAUGAUUUAACGUGUCACGUCAGCUUACCAUUACACCAUUAACGACAAUUAAUAGCUCAGUGACUAAAAUGUAACAUUUCAAACAUAAGUGACUGAAAUGUAACCUAAGAUAAACAAAAGUGACCAUGGGUAUAGUUUACCCUAUAUGAUAUAAUAAUCGACUAAUACCCUAUAUUUGGUCACUUAAUUUGUGUACAUGUAAAUAAAUAUCUUAAAUUUAUAAAGUUAGUAGGUCAAAGAAACAGGGUGUCAAAAGAGAACAUAAAAGAAAGGAAAAAUAAUUAGAAUUUAUAGUAAUUUUUAUCUAUUUUAAAAAGUUUUAAACUAAAUUAUUAAUAAUACGAUUGAUUCUAAAAUUCAAAUAAUUACAUAUAAAAUAAAUGCUUUUCUUUUCGAAGUAAAGAAAUGCUUUUUUAUUUAAAAAAGAAAAAGAAAAAACAUACUUUCAAGCCUUUUGGUCAGAAUAUGAAAUCAAAAGAGGGGACGAUGACGCCAGCCAACCUCGCCCACACCCAAUUUUCCCGCUAAAAAUUACCUUUUACGUAAGGUGAUUCUGAUGAGAUUAAAAGUAAGUCUUAUUUCCAAAAUUAACCCUUAAAUUGUACUAUUUUUACAUUUUGGUAUACUUUUUAAAAAACUGGCAGAUAUCAAUUUAGUCCAAUUUUACUUAAAAAGUAUAAGACAUUCAAUAAAAGCAUGUUGUAUGACAUGUUUUUAUUGGUUGAUAUAUUGUUUUAAGGUAAAAUAAAAUAAAACAUUAUUGAUAGUUUAAGUACUAUUUUAAAAAAAAUUAAAUAUUUAUGUGAAAAUAUGGUAUAAUUUAAGAGUAAUUUUAUAUUUAAUAAUAUAAAGUAAUAUUUAGUCUUUAAACUUAUAAUUUUUUCAGUUUUGUCCCUAAUUUUUUAUCCAUAUUAUUCUCGAAAUUUAGUAGUUUUUCUCGAUUUUAUCUUUAAACAUUAAUUUCGGUACGAUUUGAUGACGUGAUACUUUGAUAUUAUACUACGUCAUUACCUAAGUUUUUUAACUUUAUAAUUUUUAAAUUUUAAGUGAUUACGUGAUAAAAUUUCAAAAUAUCAAGUAAUCACGCAACUCUACCAAAUUAAUAAUAAUUGUCAGACUAAUAUAACCAAAACAAUUCAAGGAUCACACAGAAAAAUUUACCGAAUUCAGGGACUUAACGUUGCUUUAACCCUAUUUAUGUUCUUAUUAUCCCGUUCUAGUUACUACCUUUUCUACUUCAUCAUCCAGCGCUCGACACACAAAGGGAAAUCCGUAUUUCCAAUUUUAUCCUCCCCUCGUAACACAAAAUUACAACUAUUAACAUCUCCCAAUAAAAAUUACGGCCAUUUCCUCACUACUGUCACAUUACAUAAAACUCAACUCAGUUCCUUUUGUCCCGAAAAAGCUUUCCUUCCCAAAAGAGAGAACGACAAAGAAAAUGGAGAAACCCGUCGUCGAACAGUGGAUGCCGAAGCCAAUGACGGUACCGUACCGGCCACGGGAGAUAGUACGUGAACCAAUGGAGUUUUUAUCACGUUCCUGGAGUGUUUCAGCUCUAGAAGUUUCAAGAGCUUUAUCAUCUUCAUCGUCAACCCAACCCGUCAGUUCUCAACAAACGUGUUUAAAAGGCUCUUCGAGUGGUAACGGCAUUAUAAAAGAAGACAUUUCCGGCGAGAUUGAAGACAUUGGCUUAGUUUCAAGCAACCCUUUUACUUUUGCUUCUUCUGAAACUUCUCAAAUGAUCAUGGAAAGAAUCAUGUCACAGUCUGUAAGUGUUGUAGAACAAUGGGGUUUUCUUUUAAGGUUGUUUGUUAUUUCUUUUAACGUUAAUUUGUCUUUAUUAGCAACAAGAAGUAUCUCCAAGAACUUCAGGGAGGCCAUCUCAUAGCAGUGGACCAUUAACUGGUGCUCAAAGCUGUGGUUCAUUAACUGAUAGUCCACCAAUUUCACCUUCAGAGAUUGAUGAUGUUAAGGUUCGUACAUUUAAAUUUGAUUUUUGAUGGUGUUUUAAUCGUGGCACUUAAUGAUGAUGAAAAUAACAAGCUUUUUUAUUAGUUUAAUGGCACCUUUACCGUUUUUUUACAGCAAUUUUGCCGCGCUGGUAACUCUGUCAACACGCAGUUUCGUACAACCUCGGCUGUUCCGGCGACGGUGGCUGUCCCUCCUACGACUUCCGUGGCGGUUGGUGGUGGAAAGACGGUGGGACGAUGGCUGAAGGAUAGGAAAGAGAAGAAAAAGGAAGAAACACGGGCUCAUAACGCUCAGCUACACGCUGCUAUUUCAGUUGCCGGGGUUGCGGCAGCUGUGGCAGCUAUUGUGGCGGGGACGGCAGCUUCGUCGGGUGCCAGGAAAGACGAACAGAUGGCGAAGACAGAACGGGCGGUGGCAUCAGCCGCCACCCUCGUUGCUGCACAGUGCGUCGAGGCGGCUGAAGCCAUAGGAGCCGAACGUGAACAUUUAGCCUCUGUAAUCAGCUCUGCCGUCAAUGUACGGACCGCUGAAGACAUAAUGACCUUAAACGCCGGUGCAGCAACAGGUAUAUAUAUAAAAGAUAACCAUUAAUCAAACAUCUAAAACAGAAUGAAAUUUGUUUAAUUUUACUGGGGGUUUCAUUAUUUAGCAUUGAGAGGAGCAGCCAUAUUGAAAGCAAGGGCAUUAAAAGAGGUAUGGAACAUAGCAGCUGUUAUCCCUAUGGAAAAAAGUGGUGGCAAUGGCAGCAACGGCAGCUCUAUCGGCGGCUUUAGCGGUGAACUUCCCUCUGAAGAGAAUUUCUUAGGGGUUUGCAACAGAGAAUUGCUUGCUAAAGGUUGUGAACUUCUCAAACGCACUAGAAAAGGUAUAUAAUUUCAUCCAUAUUCCAUGCAAAGCCCGUAGACAAAACUCUUCCGGUAUUGUUUAAUUCGAGUGUUUUUAAAAUUUGGGUUUGUUUUUUAUCUAAUCCAUUUUAGCUUCAAAUUAUGUUGAAAAUUUCACUUAACCAUUGAAAUCAUUGUUUUUCAGGUGAUCUUCAUUGGAAGAUAGUCUCUGUUUAUAUAAACAGAAUGAACCAGGUAAGGUUGCAUUGCUCAUAAUUAGGAAAAUAUAUCAUAUUAGCUCAAUUAUUGGGGAAUCAAUGGAGGUUCACAUAAUGUUAAGUCCUAAACAAAAGCAAAGAAUCUAAAAAAAAGAAAGAAAGAAAGGAAAGCUGAUGACAUAGACUGUGAUCUGUUUGCUUUGUUUCUCCUUUAUAUACAUUCUUUUUGGACAUGGAAAUUUGUGUCUUUGUAUAUAGGUUAUGUUGAAGAUGAAGAGUAGACAUGUUGCUGGGACCAUUACAAAAAAGAAAAAGAGUAAGUGAUUAUUAUUCUUUUUUUGUCUUCUCUGUAAUAAAACUGUGUAAAAAGAAAGUGUAGAAAUGAAUGUGGGUCUUUGUUCCAUUUGGGGAUUUGAGAAGAGUAUCAAAAGGGAUUGGGUCAUUGUUAACUUUAAAUGUUCUUUUUGGAAAUUUUGCUGUAGAUGUUGUGAUAGAAGUGAUUAAAGAUAUGCCGGCAUGGCCCGGUCGUCACUUGCUUGAAGGUGGAGAGAACCGGAGGUACUUUGGGUUGAAAACGGCAAUGCGUGGGGUCGUUGAGUUCGAGUGCAAGAACCAAAGAGAGCAUGAUGUUUGGACUCUGGGUGUGUUAAGGCUACUCUCCAUAGCUGCUGAGAAGAACAAUAGAUAUUAGAAUUUGAUCUUAGGGGGUUGAGUGGGUGGAUCAUUUUGUGACCUAAUUUUGAACUGGAAAGUGUAAAAUGUUUUUGUGAAUAUUUAUUUCAUCUAUAUUGUGAUCUAUGUUUGAUUGUUCUUUUUCACUGUGUGUUGGACUAAGGGAUGGUCAAAAAGAGGCCAAUUAGAUGAAGGAAUAAGUAUGGGAUAUGAUAAAAAGGAUUUAAAGAGACCCAACCUUGGCUUUAUUAUUUAAUGCGAGGGGUCUAGUUUUUAAAUUUGCUUUUCGGCCCUUGGAUUUAGGUCUUGUUUAUGCCUUAUGGUGGGUCUACUUUUCAUGUGUUCUAUGGUUGGGAGGAUCUUUCACUUUCAUCACUUGGAACUCAAGCUGGGAAAAGGAUUGCCCAUAUUGUGACUUGACUUGACUCCCAAGGUUCAUUAUUCGUAUUACCUCAUAUUUUUCUCUUUUCUAAAUUUAAUAAUUUAAUUUAAAUCGUUUUAAAAUGUGAUUUUUAUUUUACUUUUGUUAGGCCAUGAAAUUUUUUUUUAUUUAAGUUCUUUAAAAUUUUUAGAAUUUUAAAUUAGUAAAUUUGUACUUUGAUCUCUUUUAAAAAUUAUAAAAAUAUAAAUCUUUCUUAAAUUUUUUUUUCUAGUUUCACCCUUCUACAAAGUUACCUUCGAUCACAUUGUAGUGCUGUGUUUUAGUUUAUUCAUGGUUUAAUACAUAAUUUCAUCUUUGAGUUUGAUAUUUCUUUUUUAAAAUGAUUUAAGGUAAAAAUUAAACUCGUACCUUAAUAAAAAAUAUAUAUAUUUUGGUGAUUUAAGGUAACGUUAUUACAUUUUUUUAUUUAAUUUGGGUUUUUAAAAUUGAAUUGAUGAAAUUUCAUAACCGAAUCAAUUUUGAAAUCUGAAUUAAAUCAUAUUCAUUAAACUGUAUUUUGCCAAAUUAAAUAAUUUCACAAUUAAUACUAAAUUUAUUCUUUUAGUAAAAUUGUGAAAAUUUUAAAUAUGAUAAUAUUAAUAACUUUCACCAAAUCAAUCAUAAAACUGGAAUUAAAUAUUAAAAUGUUAACAUUAUUACUCUUGGAUAUCAAAAUAUGUAACUUUUAUCAAAUACAAGUACUAAAUAAUAUCUUAAGCCUUUAUUCAUUUUGUUGAUUUGAACUAAAAAUGUUCAUAAGCUAGGUCAAGUUGGGUUCGGGCUGAGUCUAAACUUGAUAUUAACACACUUUAUGUUUGCCCAAACUCAGCUCAACUCAAAAUAUGGGUUUAAAACCUUGCUCAAGUCUACCUAUAGUUGUAAAUAGUUAACCCAAACUCAUUUUAAACCCGUCUAUAUUAUUUUUAAAAAAUUUUAAAUAUAUAUUUUUCAUUUUGUUUUAUUUUAAUAUUUAAUAAUUUUAUAUAUAAUCAUCUUAAUUUUUUUAAUGUUUAUAUUAUAGGAGAUUUAUAUAUUACUCUGUAUAAAAAAACAAUAUAUUAUUGUAUUUAAUUUGUGUUAUAAAUUAUAUGAUAUAAAACAUUAUAAACUUAAAAGUCGAGUUGCACAAAUUCCUUUUUUGGCUUAACAUUUUUAUCUAAACUCUCCUAAAUUUCAGAUAAACUUUCAAGCUUAGACGAAUAACUUAACCCAUGAACAGAUUUAAAAUCAACUGUAUAAAUCUUAAUUUUAGCCCAUGACUGUGGGGUAAAAUAAAAUAGAGUUAUUUUAUCUAUACGCUAGUCCGAUAGUUAAAAGCCCAAUUGCUGUAAAAGUAAAACUACAAUUAAGCCCAAUGUCAGUAUUGCAAAGACCUAGGUUGGGCUUUAAUUUGGACUAUUUUUAUUAUUGGACUGAUCCUAAACCAGGAUUGUGUACUAAAAUUUGUGAUGAUCCAUGGGUUUUUAUUAAUAUUUCAUUUUCAUCCAUUAUCUUUAAAAUUUUACAUUAAGCAUUAUCCAUGACGUUUAUAAAUAUUUCAUUUUGGCAUUUGGAAGGGUUCGAAUAAAACUAUUAAGCUCGAACAAUAAUUUCAGAAAAAAAUAUUAUGUCCAUUUAAAAUACGAGAUAUGUCCAAAUAUUCAAAACUCAAGCUUGGUCCAAUCUUUUUUAAAGUUUUUAUUUAGGGAAUAUGUUGUAUUAUAAAUAUGUAAUCUUUAUCAUGUAAAAAAUAAAUAUGUUAUACUAUAAUUUAAAUUCUAAAAAGAAAAUAAUGUUUUAGUGAAAGGAAUAUAUAUAAGGGUAGUAAAAAAUAUAUAUUAUUAAAAAGUACAUAAAAUUACAUAUAUAUUUUUAAAAAUAUGACUAACCUAAAAAAAUUGAGCGAAUUAAGCUUAUAUUUACAAAUAUGGAUGAAAACGAAACAUUACUAAAAAUUAUAGAUUAUACAUCUCAUUAACUAAAAAAAUGAUAUUCUUAAUAAGAUUUAUUAAAAUAUAAAUCUACUAAAAUUAAAAAACGUAUGGAAAAUAUUUAAUUUUAUAUAAAUAUCUUAUUUUUUAAAAUUAGAUUAUAACACACAUGUGAUGUGCAUGAAAAAUUUACCUAAAAAUUUAUAUAUAAGCUUUAUUUAAAAUUAUAAAAUUAAAAGUUUAAAUAUUAUUAUAUGGACAUUUUUUAUUAAUUUUAUAUAAAAAUAAAACCAUCCCAACACCAUAACAAUUCCAAAAAUAAAAAUGGUCUAAACCUAAAAUUAAAUUCUUAAAAGAAAAAAAUAUUUACUAACAAUGAUGAGAUGGUCACAACUCACGAGUGAUAUUCAUUCUUGAAUUUAUAUUAAUUUUUUUUCGAUAAAUUAGUAAAUAUAAGUAUUGAAUGUAAUUAUGUUGUUUGAUAAAUUUGUCAGCGUGACAUGUUGAAUCGAAAAAAUACUUACUUUAUUCAUGUAAUGAAAAAUGAUAUUGCAGUAAACUUCAAUUUAACAAAUAAAUUUACGAGUGUUAACAACUCUUAAAAAUUACGUCAUUAUUUUAAUCAAAAUAAAAAUAUUUAAACUAACUAAUAAUAUUAUAAAGUUAAGAUAUUAAAUUAUGUAAAAAAUAAAACAUAAAGAUUAAAUUUUAAAUUUAAAGAUAAUAUAAGUACCAAAAGUGAAAAUUAACUAUUAAUAUAGAAAUUAAAAACCGCAAAUGGCAGUGAAAAAAAAAAAGGCAAUUGAGUUGACAGGUGUCACAAUAAGAAAUAGGAAUGGACAUUACCUUUAUAUAGUAAGUAUAGAUAUUUUUGAAAUGUAAAAUAUAUCUAUAUAUUUUUCAUUACAAAGUUGGGAAAAAGAGAAGAUGAUAAAAGUUUGAAUUGGUAAUUAAAACUGAAAACAAAAUUAUCAUUUCCGUUAAAAAGAAUAAAUAAAUAAAUUUGUAAAAAGAAAAAUAAAUAAAUAUAUUAUAUUCUUAAUAAGAGAGCGCAUAUCAUUAUUAAAAUAACAUCUUUAUAUCUCGAAUAUAAACCAUAAAAUAUAAAAUAAUUAGUAAUAUUAUUUUGGUUAAAAUAAAUAAAAUAAUUUGAUUAAAAUAUCUCUACACAAAAAAAUUAUUAAAACACAAUAAUAGUUGUCAAAUCAAACAUCACAUCACAUCCAAAUUUGGUGCAAGGUCUGAGAGAUUGCCAAAGGAGAUAGGGCCAAACUGACUUAACAGUAAACGCACUCUCCUUUGGGAUUCCAAUUAUUAUAAAUAAAAAGCUCAAUUUUUAAUAUUUUUAAAAUAUUUUUACAUUACUAAAUUGGUUAAUAUAAUAAUUAAUAUAAAUUUAUGACAACAAUAAAAAAAUAUUAAUUCAUUAAAUAUAAUUCGAUAGAUAAAUAAUAAAAAUUCUUACAUGAAUGAUAAAUAAAUUUUACAUAUAUUUUCAAUUAUUAAAUGAUGGAUUUAAAAGUAAUCUAAUGGUAAAUACAUUUAUUUACUUCUAUGCUUUGUUUAAAAUUUAUUGAUAUAAAAUAAUAAUUAUUUUAAUUAUUUUAAAAUUUUAUUUAUAAGAAAUAGAAAAUAGUUUUAAUUAUAUUUUAUUAAUAACUUAAUUAAACAUUAGAUUCAAAUUAAUUUAUAUUUAUUAUUUUAAUUUUUUUAUCACUUAAUUAGUUUUAGAAUUAUAUAUGAAUGAAUUAAAGUAAAAAUUAUUUAACACAAUAAAUAAAUGCAUUAGCAGGACAAUUUCAUUCCUGCAAAAUUUAAAAAAAUCAUAAAAAAACAGCUUUUAGUAUUAUUUAAUAGAUUUUAUUUUCAUGUUUGAUUUUUAUUAUUUUGUUUUAUUUAUUUUUAGGCACUUGAAUAUUUUUGGAUAUUUAUUUAAUUUAUUUCACUUUUAUUUUAUAACUUAAUUAUGGUAACUGUUUAAAUUUUACCACGGAGAAGUAAAAAAGAAUUUAAGGGACAAAAUUAAGUUAUAUAAUUUAUGAGAACUAAAAUAAAAUUUUAUUAUUUUAUUAACGUAUAUAUUAUAUUUUUUAAAGAAUUAAAUUAAAAUUUUAUUAUUUUCAAGCAAAAAUAGGAAAAAUUGAGUUUCCUAUUUUAAGGGACCAAGUCGAUUGGCAGCACCUGUUGAUUUUUAUCAUCUCAUUAAUUUUACUUAUGAUUUAUACUGUUAUGUAUUGUAUAAUUAAAAAUCUAUAAUUUUUUUAGUAACUAUAGUUUUAUUUUAAUACAAUAUAGUAAUUAGUUUUUUUAUCAAAAGCUUUAAGGAAUGAAAUAUGCUUAAAAUAUUUUGUUUUCAUCUCAUAUGCAUAAAACAAUUAAAUAUAUUUAGUAAAUAUUGUUGGAUAAAUUUUAUUAUUAAAUUAAGGCUUAAUCUAUAAAUUGAAAUCUAAAUAAUACAUUCUUUCUGUUCUUGGUACUUCAAUUAUUUUUUUCUCAAGUUGAUAUUUCUUUUAGUCAAACUACUACUCAAACUGUUAAGUCUAUUUUUAAAAAAGUUUUAAUCUAGAAAUUGGUAUCUAAACUAUGUCAUUUUCUCAUGUUGGUACCCACACCUUAGUUAUUUCAAUCAUUAGUAAUACCGUUAAUUCUAUUUUUUUAAAAAUAUAAUCAAUUAAAAAUAGCCAAUAAAUAUUAUUUUCUUUAUAAGUAUUUAAAAAUUAUAAGAAUUUUAUAAAAUUUAAAAUUAAAAUAUUUUAAAAUAGAGAAAAUUGAUUCAAAUGGUUUAGCUAAUUUUUUUAAGCUCAGUUUAAUUAAUAUGUAUCGGUUCGCAGGUCAAUCUCCGAACAGGUAUCCCAAUCGAUUCUUAGUCCAACCGAACAACCUGGUCUAGUUCUAAAAACACUAGUUUUGAUCGAUGAAAGAACUUCUUUUAUCCCAUCAAGUCGAGCAAGUAGAUGAUGAAGUAAAUUUUGAGUAUUGUUGGUAUUACCAAACAUUAUAAAAGAAGAAAAAGGAAAAGAGGGAGAAAG
rnacentral:lncRNA from 1 species